UGAGCUUUAAGCAUUAACUUGUCGAUCCAACAAAAAUUAGGGCUAGAACAGUUUAUGCUGUUGCGGCACAUAUAGUCAACAAAGGAAGUUGCAAGGUGCAACCAUCUAAUCUAGAAAUGCAUCAUCAUCAUCGAUAAACGAAGCUAUUAUCAACUUGGAGAUUUAAGCCAAUGGAAUGCAAUGAAUAUGACUGAGAGCAAUUCAACAAUGAGAUUUACAUGGAUGAGAUGUGUAUCUUCUCUAUACAGAAUUCUCACCUUUGCAGAUUGACACCAGAGUUGUUGCAGUAGCACACAAUCUGCCAGGCUGUCAGGGUUGCGGUUUCGCUUUCUUCGCGUCUCUGUCAGCUCACAAGCUCCAAAUCAUGAGUUGUUUGUUAGGUUCACAACAUGAGGGAUGCCCUUGCCAAGCUUCAUGGACGGCCAACAGCAAUGCUAUACACCAGUCCGUUCUCUGAUGUUUUGUCAUGCCAUAUUCACACAUGCACAUUACCAAUGGUUUUCUUCUCGAACUCCCGCACCGCGUUCGUGAGGCGCUUCAUGCUGUCGUCGUAGUACCAGGGCGUCUUCUCGGACCACGUCAAGCCACCUUUCGGCGGCACCGGCACAAACUCACGGCAUAACUCGCCGGGAACAUUGAUGGUGUUGUGGUAGUGGUAGUACCGGAUGAGGUGCUCCGUCUUGUGAGUGGUAUUGCCGAUAACGUUCUCGGACAUGUGCACGCCCGUGGCGUAUGCGUUCUUGGCCUGGAUCGCGUACUUCCUGUCACGCCUCACCCCGGUGAUCGAAUUCCGGAACACCAGCUUCUCAAACCCCCAUUGUCUGCAAAAAUUGUGAGUAAGAGGAGUCAGUCUUUCAGAUAUACCAUGCAUUGACAAAUGUAAAAGAAGUAAUACAACUAGGACUGCAAGGAGAACAUGGUAGGAUUCAGCCAUUGCAUCACCAGAAGUACACUUGAAUUACCAGUACAACUGAACUGUUCUUAGAGCAACCGAAAAUGAAAACAAGACAAAAAUGAAAUGUCCGGCUCCAAAGAUCGUAGAUUAGGGUGGGGGAUUGCACGAAUACGGAACCUUUAGAAGCAACUUUAUAACCAAAUGGGCACUUAUAGUCGAUAGAAAAUGACACAUGAAGGUUCCUAAUUGGGUAAUUCCAGUUCAAAAGGUCACAUCAACAUGCCAAAUUCAAACGAUGCAGCAAUGGUUUGCGUAAAAGGAGUAACAUGUCCACUAAACUAAACAAAUUUUGUGCAGGAAACGGUCACCUACUUGGAGUAGUCGGCCUCGGAAUCGUUGGUGCCCCGCGCGCACAACCUGCUCGACAUGGGGUUCUGCUCGAUGGUGAACUGCGUGUACGGGUCGAGCUCGGCGAGCACGCCCUCGAGCGUCCGGCCGUCGGGCAGGAAGAUGUACUCGUCGACGUCGAAGAAGAAGGUCCACCUGGCGGCGUGCCGGUACCGGUGGAGGCAGUCGUUGACGACGAGGAACUGGUUGUGGUACCAGCCGUCGUAGUCGGCCUGGGCGCGCACGUCCUGCAGCGUGGCGCGGCCGGCGCGCACCCAGGGCUCCAACGCCGCGCGCACCGCGGGGCUGACGCCGCCGGCGUCGUGGAACACGAAGUGCGAGCGCGCGCCGAAGAAGCGCGCGUGGUAGGCCAUCCACUCCCGCACGCGCGCCGCGCUGAGGUCGCCGUACAGCGACGAGCCGCAGUAGAGGUAGUCGUACCUGUGCGGGGGGCGGAACGCCGCCUCGUCGUAGGCCCCCGGCGCCUCCUCCAGCGCCUCGAUCCGCUCGUACCGCGCCGGCGACGGCCCGUAGUAGGCGUUGAGCACCAGCCUGCCCCCGGCAUUGUCGGCGUUGGGCGCCGCCGAGAAGGUGCAGUUCACCACCACGACGGUGUACACCCGGCCGUAGCCCCAGUCCGGGAGCAUGUGGUACGUGUUGGCCGCGCGCAUCGGCCGCGCCGACGAGGCGGAGGCGUUGGCGGCGCCGGCGUUGGGCACCCACUCGCAGCGGAACCAGGGCUUGCCGUAGACGUGGACGGGCUUGGACGCGAGCCCGACGACCGCGAAGGUGUACGGCCCGCCGCGGUACGCGCCCAUCUGCACGAACAGCGCCGCCGCGCUGCCCACCGCGCGGAACUCCCGCCUGUUCGGGUCGGGCUUGGGCCGCUCCUGACCCUGCUUCGGCGACGAGGAGGCGUUGGAGCUGGGGCUGGACGCCUUGCCGGAGACGGCGAGCGAGCGCGGCAGCGAGGGGGGCGGGUCCGGGCAGAGGGAGAACGGGACGGCGAGCAGGGAGUGGUAGGGGCGGAGCUGCCAGGCGGCGGCGAGGAGCGUGAGCAUGGUGAGCGCGGCGAGGAAGGGCUUGAGGUCGGAGCAGAGCAAAGCGGGGGACGGAACAGCCGCAAUGCCGCCGCCGGCGGCGGCGGCCGGCUCGCUCCGCAUUCUUGCCCCUGCCUGCCGCGGAUGGGGAGCAAUGAGUGAGAGGGAGUGUGGGAGCAGUGCUGAGGAUUACGCGAGGCGAGACCCCGUUGGCGGAUUAAUUAGCUUCCUUUUUACAGUACAGCAGAGAGUACGCGCGGUAAAGUUUUUGGCAGGAAUUGAUGGCGUCACCGUAUCCCCCUGUUGCGUUGUCCAGGACACGGCCCGGGUCUCGGCGUCGGCGCACGCUGUUUUUCCUCGGGUCCGGGAUCUCAUCUCGUCUCUCUACUCAUUUUUGGAAUGUUUCUGGGUGGCCUCGUUUACUGACUACAGUAGUAAGAAACAAGCUACUCAGCCAGCGUCGAGCCCGGUGUGUUUGAGGCUCAGGGCUGGGCUGGUUCAUCAAUAUUAACCUCGAGUCAGUCACUGUCGCUCUGUGUCUCUGUGCGUAAGUAAAUCCUACAGUAGCAUAGUUACCACUUUCUUCACCCGUUGACCACUGAUGCAGCCCUUCAAAUUAACAUCUGAAGCUCCCGCCUUAAUGCUAAGCCACCCGGAGCCACAUUUUGUUGGGUACUCGUACUAGCACCUUCUCGUGCUUGCCCAACCUGCCACCUUUCGGUGGCACAGAGCCCCAAUUAACGAAUCUCUCUCCCUCUAAACAAAAAGUGCCAAUUCACUGCGGAUAUCAAUCACUGUGCCGCAUGGCCCGCACCGUACCCCGACCCUAUCCAUCCAACGGUCGUAUCCCUCCGCUCACAGCCUGACACCACACUCGUGCGCGGCAUGGGCGCUCGACCGGCGCGAACCAACAGGUGUCACCUUGUCAGCGGGGCCGGGCCACGCGUGGCUCUGACUACCCGGAUCCGGCACGGACGUGGAUGGCUGCGCUGCAGCGCACGCACGCGCCCGCUUCCGUUCAAGCGCACGACACCGUCUUUGCCUGCCGCGCGUGCCGUGCCGAGCGCGAGCGGCGCUGCCGUGCCGACGGUCACCACGUCCCAGGUCCGCGCCACGCGCGCCCCGUUCUCACGUGCCGCCCAGCAGAUCGGAUCACCCGGUGCGAUGACGAGCGAGGCAGUUGCGCAAUGGGUAGAAAGGUGAGCGAAUCAGCGGCGGAGGCUUCCGUUCCAAGCGUAAUCAGACUCCGUUCUCAGCGGCGGACGUCGGCUUGUUCGAACGGGCUCUAGACCUGUCUGCACAGGUGACGCGAUGCGUGCAUGCCUUUCUAUCGCCUCGUCGAGCGCAUGCAUGGCAUGCACGCGUCCACCGGAUAGCCGGAUGCGGAAUGAUACCGCCGCUUUCACGCUUUGGCUUUUGCUAUAGCUCUGGUCGUUUUCAGCGGUGCAGCCGUUAGUUAGGGAAUGAAAGCGUCUCGUUAAACGGAUAUGGCACGCAGCUCGCAUAACUGCAAAAUUCUGCGCCUCUCGCUAGUCCGGCGUCUGUGUGUGUUUGGGGGCAUGGUUGUGACUUUGAUGAUGAUUCAGUGAAAGCUGGACGCUCUGCAACAUUUGCAGAAUUUCUGUAACGGUGAAACAGAUUGAUUUUUUCUCAUGAUGGGGUGCGCUUAUAUAUUAGGUAAAAGUGGCUAUUUUUAGUCGACAUGUUUAUAGGCGAUCAUGUAAUAACCUUCAAAUCCUCUUUUUCUUUUUUGCGAGGGAAGUUCGAUAUACCUGUAUCAAAUCUCAAUGAUUGGAUAUGAGUGCUAUUUCUGAAAUGGCCAAACCGUUUGGAAAUGCCUUGGUCCGUAAGGUUGUGUGCGGCGCAGGUUCGAUUCAGAGAAAAUCAGACGCAAUGAGCCAAUUAUACGCUGGAAACAAUGGAACCUAGCGCAGGAGUACACGCGAGCUGGAUGUGAUCGCCCAACAGCUGUGUCUUGACUCUUUAGUCUUGACUGGUCCGUGCGUGCAAGAAAAUGCCAACCGGGAUACGCGUCUACGGUUCACGAUGAUCUCCUCGUCUGGAAUUGCAAUAGUAGCGCUACUAGAGUGCGUGCUUGUGCCCACAAAAUGGUGCAUUUUCUCGGCGCGUCGGUCAUACAGUAUUUCUUAGGCAAGCACGCGCAGGGUCUAAAGCUGAUUCUCUGCAGUAUUAAGCUCUUCAGUAAACAAACAGCGCUUGUAGCUUAAUCAGCUCGAAGUUCGGCUCAUUGAACGCCAGUGAUCAACAAGACAACAAAUGGUGCAAUCACAUUUGAGUCCACAGAACCAACCAACCAAGAGCAGGAACCGAGGAUCGGAGUUCAGCUCGACGCUAGUGCAACUUGUUAGACUUAGAGAUAUUGAAGUUAUGUAAUCUCAACUACCAUCUCUAUCUCUUUUUCUCUCCCAUGUAACCUCCUAUCUCUAUCCCGCUGAAUCCUAGCGAUCGGUGGUCUUCUUGUACGCCACGGCAGAGGUUGUUUCUGCCCACAAUCAAUAUAUACCCGCGGCUUCUCUACGGAGGAGUAGGGACGCUUCCAUCGAUCCAAUCUAACAUGAUAUCAGAGCUAGGUCUCUUCCUAUCGUCUAGCAAAACCAAAAUCCUAAACACCCUUCCAUAGCCAUGGCCACGAGCUCAAGCGCCGUCGGUCUCAACCUAGGAGCUCCACCAACAGAGAAGCUCUCAAGGGGGGACUACCUCCUGUGGAAGGCGUAGGUCAUGCCGGCACUGCGAGGCGCGCAAGUGACCGGCCUCCUCGACGGCAGCGACGCCGCACCGCCCAAGAUAAUAGAAGUCACCAAGGCAGAUAAAACCACGACCAUUGAGCCCAACCCUCUGUACGGCCCGUGGUUGUCGAAGGAUCAACAGGUUCUGAGCUACCUGUUGAACUCUCUCACCCAGGAAAUCCUUGCACAAGUCAUCGGUAAGGACAGCACCUUCGAUUUGUGGACUGCUCUUACCACAAUAUUCACUGCGCAGUCGCAAUCCCGCAUAACCAAUCUACGGAUGGCCAUCUCCAACACCAAGAAGGGCAACAUGUCGAGCAACGCCUUCAUUUCCAAGAUGAAGAACCUCGGGGACGAGCUAGCUGUAGCUGGGCGUCCGAUUACCGAUCUAGAGAUGGUGGACUACAUAUUGGUUGGCCUUGAUCGGGACUAUGAUCCCGUUGUGGCAGCAAUCGGCACAAUCAAGAACUCCAUCAGCGUCGACGAUCUGUUCGCGUAGAUUUCUGCGUUUGACCAACGCAUGGAGAUGCUGGGGGACGGACCAGCAGGCUUCCGCUCCUCUGCCAAUGCCGUCUACAGGGGCGCGGGCAGUCCUGUGGCAGGGGAGGUCGCGGCCGAAGCACCAGAGGAGGGCGCGGUCGAGGGAACCGCUCUGCUUCAUCUCUUGGUCGCGGUGGUGGUGGCGGCUACCAGCAGCAACGACUUCGUCCCCAACCACAACAACAGCAGUAGCAAGAAGGUGACCAUCCAGAGUGCCAGAUCUGCUACAAGUUUCAUGCCGGUGGCGCAAGAGCGUGCUGGCAUCGCUAUGAUGAUGAUCAUGAGGAGAAGAAGGCAGCCAACCUCGUCACCAACAACUACGGCAUUAACACCAACUGGUAUGCCGACUCCGGUGCUACUGAGCAUAUUACCGGGGAACUUGACAAGCUGACGAUGCGGGAAAGGUACCAUGGUGGUGAUCAGAUACACACGGCAAGUGGAACUGGUAUGGACAUCACUCAUGUUGGAAAAUCAAUUGUUAAAACCCCCGUAAAAUAUUUACAUCUUAAUAAUGUCCUACAUGUUCCACAUGCUUCAAAAAAUCUCGUUUCAGUUCAUCACUUUGCCCUUGACAACAACGCUCUUAUAAUAUUUUAUCCCUACUGUUUUGUGAUCAAGGACUUGGCAACGAGGAGGGUCAUACUUAGAGGAAAGUGUGAGGGAGGCCUAUAUCCACUCAUAUCAUCUUCAUCUUCAUCAUGGUUGAAUAAACAAGCGUGGAGUGUCACCAAACCUUCUUUGGCAAAGUGGCAUAGUCGUCUUGGUCAUCCCUUUUCAGUCAUAGUUAAGCAUGUCCUUAGCAAGAAUAAUCUUCCCUAUGAGUCUAGUGUUGAGUCAAUUUGUGAUGCUUGCCAGCAAGCUAAGAGUCAUCAGCUACCCUAUCCCAUAUCUACAAGUGUAUCAACUGCUCCAUUGCAGUUAAUUUUUUCAGAUGUAUGGGGACCAGCUCCCACAUCAGUUGGCAGAUUUUCCUAUUAUGUUAGUUUCAUUGAUGAUUAUAGCAAGUUCACUUGGAUAUAUUUGCUAAAGAAACGAUCUGAUAUUUUCCAAGUAUUUCUCAAUUUCCAAAACCUUGUUGAACGCCAACUAGACUAAAAAAAUUCUUGCUAUGCAAACCGACUGGGUGGUGAGUAUGAAAAAUUAAAUUCUUUCUUUCAAAAGAUUGGAAUUUCUCACCAUGUUUCUUGUCCCCAUGCUCAUCAACAGAAUGGGUCGGUUGAACGCAAACACCGCCAUGUUGUUGAGGUAGGACUAGCACUGCUAGCUAAUGCUUCCAUGCCCCUAAAAUUCUGGGAUGAAGCCUUUCUCACUGCCACAUAUCUCAUAAAUAUUCGACCAAGCAAAGUCAUCAAAUUUGAAAGUCCCAUCACACGUCUUUUUGGUGUUAAACCCGACUUCAAAUCUCUUCGAGUAUUUGGUUGUGCAUGUUGGCCCAACCUAAGACCAUACAACACACGCAAACUUGCGUUUCGUUCCAAAAAAUGUGUGUUUUUGGGAUAUAGCCCUAUGCAUAAAGGAGUAAAAUGUCUAGAUGUUCCCACAGGUCGAGUUUAUAUAUCUCGCGAUGUUGUGUUUGAUGAAUCAAUUUUUCUGUUUGAAUCUCUUCAUCCUAAUGCCGGCGCCCUCCUUCGUCAAGAGAUUCUUCUUCUUCCAUCUACACUUUGAGAUCUUGAUCACGGGGAAACAAUUGCACUAACCAACAUGAUGGUAGUAUUCCUACUGGAACCAGUCCUUGUCUUCCGUGUGUGCAGGUCCCUGAAGAAAAUGGCGUUCAAAACGAUCAAAAUGAUCAAAAUCUCAUUCAAAACGAUGCUAUAUUUCAUGUGCAAGAAGAGGACGAAGCCGACGCGGUGAAUGAGGACGAUCUGGUGGCGCCUGCCACCCCUGCGUGCCAAUCCUCCUCGGAUCGGGCGCGGAUAUCCACUCCAGAUCGUGAGCCGGUCAGUCUGCAUGGCCAGACGCGGGCGACGCAAUCUGCGGCUGCCACUCCACGCGGGGAAUCCCCCUCGGACGGCUCGCGCAUGCGGCCAACCACGAGGUGCAACUUGCUUGCGCGUCUGACAGGCCCAUCUGGCGCGGGAUCUUCUGUGGCAGCAGGUGGUGCGGCGCUGACUGAGGAAACCACACCCGUCGCCACUGGAUCCGGUGUGGCAUCUCCUGAUUCCUCUCCAGGAUCUUCUGCAACCAGCAAUGCCGUGCGCCAGCGUGUACAGCAGCCUCCACUAAUCACAUCAAGAGUUACAACUCGGCUACAAAAAGGUAUUAAGAAUCCAAAAAUCAGAACUGAUGGCACUAUUCUGUAUGGCAUGUUGUGUGUUUCAGGCGAGCCAACAAAAUUGGAUGAUGCACUUGGAGAUCAUAAGUGGAAAAAGGCUAUGGAUGAGGAAUAUACAGCCUUGAUGAGAAACAAAACAUGGCAUCUGGUGCCAAACAGGAAAGGUAAAAAUAUUAUUGAUUGUAAAUGUGUGUAUAGGAUCAAGAAAAAGGCAGAUGGCUCCAUUGACAGGUAUAAAGCAUGUCUCGUUGCUAAAGGUUUUAAGCAGCAUUAUGGUACUGAUUAUGAGGAUACAUUUAGCCCUGGGUAAAAGCUGCAACCAUCAGACUUGUGCUGGCUAUUGCUGUGUCUUGGGGAUGGAGCCUAAGGCAGCUAAACAUACAGAACGUGUUUUUGCAUGGUGUUCUAGAAAAGGAGGUCUAUAUGAGGCAACCACCAGGUUAUGAAAACAAACAAAAACCUCAUUAUGUAUGCAAGCUUGACAAAGCUCUUUAUGGUUUGAAACAAGCACCUAGGGCAUGGUACUUCAGGUUAAGUAUGUAGUUAAAACGUCUUGGCUUUAUUGCAUCAAAGGCUGACACGUCUCUCUUCAUAUAUAAUAAGGCAAACACUGUUAUCUUUAUGCUCAUAUAUGUUGACGACAUUAUAGUUGCAAGCUCUUCUCAGAAUGCUACUGAUGCUCUUCUGCAUGAUCUAAGCUCAGAAUUUGCUUUAAAGGAUCUUGGUGAUUUGAGUUUCUUUUUGGGCAUUGAAGUUAAAAAGGUUCAGGAUGGUAUAGUGUUGAAACAAGAAAAAUAUGCCACUGAACUCUUGGCUCGGAUGGGAAUGAAGGAUUGUAAGGUAUCACCUACACCAUUAUCUUCAUCAUAACAAUUGUCAGCAUAUGAAGGGGAGCCACUUAAGGAGGAAGAAAGCACCAAAUACAGAAGUGUUGUUGGUGCCUUGCAAUACUUAACCUUAACACGGCCAGAUAUUUCUUUUGAUGUUAACAAAGUAUGACAAUACUUACAUUCUCCCACUUCUGCUCAUUGCACAGCUGUCAAGAGGAUCAUACGGUAUGUGAAGCACACUGUAGGUUUGGGACUUCAUUUCAGACGGUCCAACUCUACACUUGUUAGUGCUUCUCUGAUGCAGACUGGACAGGUUGCAGCGAUGAUAGAAAAUCAACAGGUGGUUUUGCUGUUUUCUUUGGUUCUAAUCUUAUUUCAUGGAGUGCCAGGAAACAAGCAACAGUGUCAAGGUCAAGUACUGAAGCUGAGUACAAAUCUUUGGCAAAUGGUACUGCUGAAAUUAUUUGGCUUGAAUCUCUGCUUGAAGAAUUGGGUGUAAAGCAACACCGUAUUUCAUGCCUAUGGUGUGAUAAUUUGGGUGCUACUUAUUUAACUGCUAACCCUGUCUUUCAUGCCAGAACCAAGCAUAUUGAGAUAGACUUUCACUUUGUACGUGAAAGGGUUGCAGAGAAGAAGCUGGAGAUCCGCUUUAUUCCUUCAAGAGAUCAAGUGGUUGACGGGUUCACUAAAGCUCUACCGUACAAACCAUUUGAAGCAUUCAAGAACAAUCUCAAUUUAGGAUAGGUAGUUCAGAUUAAGGGAGGGUGUUAGACUUAGAGAUAUUUAAGUUAUGUAAUCUCAACUACCAUCUCUAUCUCUUCUUCUCUCCCGUGUAACCUCCUAUCUCUAUCCCGCUGAAUCCUAGCGAUUGGUGGUCUUCUUGUACGCCACAGCAGGGGUUGUUUCUGCCCACAAUGAAUAUAUACCCGCGGCUCCUCUACGAAGGAGUAGGAACGCUUCUAUCGAUCCAAUCUAACACAACUUGCUGCUCCCGUCUCCAAAAAGCUAGACUAGGUAGGUGGACAACACCAGGAUGCCAAACACCCUAUAAAGUUGCUUAUCUGCUCCCUACCCUUCAGCGAUGUUGAGAUUCGCCAUUGAAAGGGCAAGAGCUUAAAAUAGACUUGAGUAAACCUACCUCCUGCUAUGGCGGCAGAUUGUUUUAGGGCCACCCUUUAAUCGAAAGAUAAAGCAUGGCUUUGUAAGGAAAUGCACCGCUCACAAAAGAGAUCGAGCUAGUAGGGAGUGGUGGUACACAGUAAUGCAUUUCUGCAAUGUACCCGUUCGUUUAUACAACUGUCCGCUUCACGAAUUGAGCUUGGAGAGUGCAUGAACUGGCCGGGCCAAUCUCUGCUCUGUGCCGGUACAUGCAGCGUGACGGCGAGGACUGGAUGGGUGAUGGAUCAUGGCACUACUAGAAAAAGGGCUAUGACGAAUGGCUCUCGCUCGGGCGGAACCGCCGCUUCAUCCUACCCCAGCGACCCCAACCACCGCGGCUCUCACAGCCUCGCCGGCCUUCAUUGAUGGUGUCUCCGGCCGCGUGCUGCCCUGCGUGGCCCUGCUGGAGGCGGGGGAGGCCUCCGCUCCCCGUCUCGUUGACCCGGUCUCCGGGCGGGUCCUUCCUUGUGUGGCCUUGCGCGACUGCGAAUCUGCCGAGAUCCCGGUUAGUAACUCCACCCUUUCCCUUUCUUGCUCGCUGCCAGCCGCCCAGCCGCCCGCCGUAGUGCUUCCCUCCCCAUCUGGGGUGUCGACGGUGGCUGCUUCUGCCAGGCCGCGGCUUCAGUCGAUCGUCGUUGCCCCUGGCCGCGGAGAUUCGCCCGCACCCUGUCUGGCGCCGCACCUCCCGAGGCCUUUCUCUGGCGCAUCUGUGACGGGCUCUGCGACCGCUCCGGCUGCUCCAGCGAUUUACCCCUCGCCUCGGCCCCCUGUUGUGGCAUUUAUUGGGGGUGGGGAUGCCGCGGGGUGGACCGAGGUCACCUCUCGGCGUGCUCAGAAACUGGCACGGCGUCAGGCACGCGAGGCCGCCCGGUAUCCAAAAGAUCCGCGCCAUGAUCGCCCUGCAUCGUCUGCGGCUGCGGAUGCAUUCAAGAGGCGCUUUGGAAACGCGUGCUACCGUUGCUUGGGUUCAAGACACAAGUUCUUUGAAUGCCGAGAUCCAAUAACUUGCUACGCCUGCAAGCAGUCAGGCCACCUCGAGCGCGGCUGCCCCGAUCGCCUGAAGAGCAAGGCCGCACCAGUUCCCUCACAGCCUGCGUCGACCACUGCCUCGCUGGCCGGUGGUUCUUUCGCUGCCGUCGUGCGCGCACCCCCUCCAUCGACUGCCGUGGUGCGCCGUGGGGCGCCUACUGUGGUGCCCAUGGCCUACAUUCCAGGCGAGGCGUCGCGGAGGCCAGCCAGUUCCAGCUGCAAGGUGGUCAGCACUCCGACCAUGGAGGCGGAGGCCCACCGGCUGCGUUCUUCUGCGCUCGUCCUGACGGCAGUCGGGCACUGCUCUAGCAUCUCUGCCGACAUGGUGGCGCGUGCGGUGGAGCGGGAUUUUCGCUUCCCGCCGAGCGACAUCGUCGUCGCGCCGUUCUUCCCCAAAGACUUCCUCCUCACCACAUUCCUGCCUGACCAGAGAGACUUGGCCCUUGAGCAACGGGGCAUUGAGGUGGCCGGAGUGCAGUUCAAGUUUCGGCCAUGGCUUCCUCCACCCGGCACCAGCCGCAUCUGGCGCUACUACUGUCGGGUGGCCACCGAGAGGCUGCCGCUGAACGCCUGGGACUGGGAGAGUGUCAAGGAGGUCCUCGGCAAGGAUUGCGACCUGGACCUGAUCGAGCACCAAUCAUCCACCAAGGCCAACUACUCGGCGCUCUUCGCCUGGCUCUGGACUUGGCACCCGGACAAGAUCCCGCGUGCGUCUGACUUCGCCGUGCUGCAGCGGCCCGACGUCGUUCGUCCAAGGGAAUUUUUGCCUGAAGGCACGCCCGCAGAGGAGGGCAAAGAAGGGCCGACGUUCCCGGUGCUGAUCCAUCUGGAUGUUGUCAAAGACUACACGCCGAUCUCCCCAGGGCGCGGCGAGCGCACGAAGUGGCCGCGCUCGUAUAGCUUCAAGGGCAAGUGGAGGUUUGGCACCAAGGAUGGAGAGGACAGGGCCAGGUCCGUGGGCUCUUGCUCCAACCAUCUUGCUGGGCGCUGGAGCGAUGACGAGGAGGGGGGUGGAGGAGGCAGCAGUUGGCGCCGUGGGUCGCGUGGAGGGGUGCGCAAGCGCUUCUUUCAGAACAUGCGCGAGCAGGCCAUGUGUCGGGGCACUGCGAGCAGGGAGCCGGAGCCUCGGCGCCAUCGGCGACACACGAGCACCGCCGCUGGCGAGUGCCCGGCUGGCGCUGCUGCCCCGGUGGACCUGCAGAUGGGACAGGAUAGCCGACCGGCUGCUAUGAUCCUCGUUACUCCUGCUCUGGAGGAGGUGCAAGGGGUGCAACCCGAAGAGAUGCUGAGGGUACAGCCUGAGGUGCAGGUGGUGCAGCUUGAAGAGGUGCAGGUGGAGCAGCAUGAAAGGUUGGGGAGGCCGCGCCGACUCAGGCGCCACGAUGGGGGUUCAAGCAAUGCCCAAGAUGGCAUGCUGCGGCUGGCGCUCGCUGGUGCGCUGGGCGCGGCGGAGACGCAUCAGGAGAAGGGUAGCGCGAGCCGCACCCGCGUGCUCGUGACUCCUUCCCUGCAUGUGACGCCCGUACAGUCAACUGAGGAGUCAAGGAAGCAGCCCGACCAGCCGGACGAGGAGGACGCCCAGAGUGUCGCACAGAGCAUUGCUGCCACACCAAUGGGCAUGGCCAACACUGUGAACCCGCUUAGAGAGACCGCUCUUCCACCAUCAGACCUGACAGCUCGUGCUCUGGCAAGCAUUGGCGCGGACAAUUGGGGACCAGCCGUCCCUGGUUUUUUUUGCCCCUUUUCUCCCCACCCCGACAUGAGAUGCAGCUCUCUUCAGUCAGAAAGCAGCAACAGGCCCUUGGCAUCCCAGUACCAUGGCUCCGCCAGAACACACAUGAUACAGCUUCCCUCACCACUGUCGGGAUGGCCACCUCCUUCAAUCAGAGCCGGCGGGACAACUACGAGCUCCCCCCGCUACCACCAUCCUUGGGAUCAGGUGUACUGAAUAGCUGGGAAUCAACCGCUCCUCCGGGAACGCAACUGUGGUUCGAUUGGGAACAACCUGCACAGCAGUUUGGGCCAUGCUGGCUACCUAGCUGGGAGCCGGCCCAGUUCGCUAGCCUGCCUUGGGAACCAGACUGGGCCACGGGCCCGGAAGUGGUGUUUGGACCUGGUGCGGGGAGCAACAACACCAUUGUUCCUACGCCUUCUGUGGAAGAAACGCGAGCUAGACGUGCGCUCGCAGAAGCAAAUCUGUCAGGCCCUGGGCUCCUCACAGCUAUCACUGCCAAGGUCUCUGAGCUGCAGAUUGACGAGCAGCGGGCCUUCAUCAGCAAACUUGCUACGGUGCUAUCGUCGUCGAUUCUAGGAACGCCGUCCCCCACGGCACGCGUGUCGCGCCCCAUCAAGCAGCGCCUGCUCAGCAUCAUGAAGGGCUCCAGGCAAAGCUCCCGUCUCCUUCGCCAGCGCUCCAACUUCUCCUCCUCCAGGCGCUCCCAGGCGGCAAUCAGCGUCGCUCUUGGUUUCAUCAGGAAGGCAGAGGACUUCACCGAUGACACGCUGCUCGAGUACAUUCACUUCUUCCACAGCCCGAUGCCACCAGAGAACAUGGCAAAGCUCGCGGAAAUCGCUGGCCUGACCUCUCCGGCACAGCUGCGCCUGCCUGAUGCUGAACUCCAGGCCAUCCUGGAUGAGCUUGCGGCCACGGCCGUCUAGCGCGGCUGCUACCUAAGCGCGCCUCCGCAGUCUGUCUUAGUUUCCUAUGUUUAGUCAUCCCUAGAACCUGAACCUGAAUUUGUGUGUGCGCCGCUAUGGCUGCCGGCGUUUCAUUGCCCUGAAUUGUUUCCUUUCUGCUGCGGCUGCCUGUAUCCGGCCGUUAGCUCUGUGCGACCUUAUUGUUUCCUAUGAUUGAACAUCUUUCGCUUGUCAAUUGGAAUGUGAGGGGCCUUAAUGACGGGGCAAGACGCGCGUCUGUUCGUGCUCUGAUCAAUCGCAUGAGUUGCUCCAUUGUCUGUCUCCAAGAAUCCAAAUUAGCUGUUGUCUCCGAUGCUGAUCGGGUAGAAAUUGUUGGGGCACAGUUUGAUAAACAUGUGGCCCUGAAUGCUGAUGGGACUCGGGGUGGUGUGCUUUUGUGUUGGCACUCAGAGUCCCUAACAGCCAGUAACAUUACAGUGAGAGAUUUCUCCAUCACAGUUUGCUUUACGGCAGCGAACGAAGGCCCCAUUUGGUCUGUGACAACCGUGUAUGGACCUCAUGAUGAUGCGCGCAAGCCGGCGUUCCUUGCUGAACUUGCUGCGAUCCACAACUCCAUGGGAGGGCCAUGGAUUGUGAUAGGCGACUUCAAUCUCAUCAAAGACCCACAGGACAAAAACAAUAGUAGGAUCAGCCGCCGAUGGAUGAAUAAGUUCCGAAGCACGCUUAAUAGAUCAAAUUUGCACGAAAUUCAGUUGAUCGGGUGCUGUUUCAUAUGGAGCAAUGAGCAAGCCUAGCCAACGCUCGUGAGAUUGGAUCGUGCGUUCUGCAAUGUUGAGUGGGAACUGCUCUUCCCCGGAGCAAAGCUGCUGCCCCAAUCAUCCGCCAUAUCGGAUCACUGCCCCUUGCUCCUGGUAAACGACGUAGUCACCAAAACUAAUAGGCGGUUCCGUUUCGAGGCAUAUUGGCAGCACAUUAAGGGGUUUCGGGAGGUGGUGGAUCAAUCUUGGAACCUCCCAGUCAGGAACUCGUGCCCGAUCACUAGGUUCAAUGCUAAACUACACCGACUCAGUAAAGCCCUUAGAGCAUGGAGCAGAACGCUCGUGGGGGACAUUCAGAAACAACUUAUGAUAGUGAACGAGCUAAUCCUACAACUAGACACGGCCCAAGACUACAGAUCGCUUAAUACGGAUGAAAGUGAAUUAAGGUCAAAACUGAAAUCACGAUGCAUGGGGCUUGCCAUUCUCCUGAAAAUUAAACUGAGGCAGCGAAGUAGAAUCCUUUGGCUAAAGGCAGGAGAUGCUAACACCAAAUUUUUUCAAAGGAAAGCCAAUGCUAGGCAUAAACGCAACACAAUCCACAUCCUACAGGGACCAUCUGGACCGGUAUCCUCCUCGACGGAGAUGGGCGAGCUUGCUCACAUACAUUUCCAGAAUUUAUUUGGCAAUGAGCAACCGCGGUCCACUGCCCUCAAUUGGGACGAGCUUGAGCUGGACCUGUUGGAUCUCUCAGAUCUUGAGGGGGAAUUAUCUCUUGACGAAAUUAAAUGAGCUAUAGAUGAGAUACCAGUGGACAAAGCGCCGGGACCGGACGGCUUCUCCGACAGUUUUUUCAAACAAUGUUGGGAAACCAUUAAAUACAAUUUGUUGGAGGCCCUCAACCAACUUUACCGCAUGGACAGCCGGGGUCUUGCUCGCAUAAAUUCUUCUUUCCUUGUGCUGAUCCCCAAAAAGCAAGGGGCAGACUCUCUUCAGGAUUUCAGGCCAAUCUCACUGCUUCAUAGUUUAAUCAAGAUAUUCUCCAAGAUUCUGGCGAGCCGGCUUGCGCCCAAGCUGGAUGGUUUGAUUGAUCAAUGUCAAAGUGCCUUCAUCAAGAAGCGGUGUAUACAGGAGAAUUUUUUGUACGUUCAGAACACUGCGCGGAAACUGCACAAAUCAAAGAAAUCUUCAAUACUGCUAAAAUUGGACAUUGCCAAGGCCUUCGAUUCACUCUCAUGGCCUUACUUGAUGGAGAUGAUGGAGGCAAGAGGCUUUGGCACGCGCUGGCGUGAAUGGAUUGCCAUGUUACUCAGGACCGCAACCUCCCAGGUGAUCAUAAACGGUCAACACUCGGAGGCAAUUCAACACCGGCAAGGGCUUAGACAAGGGGAUCAGAUAUCUCCUUUCCUUUUCAUUCUCGCCAUGGACCCGUUGCAAAGAAUGAUGAAUCUGGCCACUACUAGCAGUGUCCUCUCAAAGCUUCCUGGGCGGACACCACUAAUGCGAUGCUCGUUCUACGCCGAUGAUGUGGCUUUGUUCAUGAACCCAAAGAAAAGCGAUGCCACAAUGAUUAAGCUGAUACUAGCAUGUUUUGCUCAAGCCACAGGCCUUCAUGUCAAUGCAACCAAGAGCUCGGCCCUUGCCAUACGAUGUGGCUCACUCAACCUUGACGACAUUCUGGCACCCCUCGGCAUCCCUCGCAAGAAUUUCCCAAUCACUUAUCUCGGAAUGCCUCUAUCCCUCAAAAACCUCACCAAGGCUGAUCUGGAUCCUCUAUUGGCCAAAUUUGGCAGCAAGACCGCUACAUGGAAGGGUGGUCUAAUGGCGAAAAGCGGUCUCCUUGUACUUCUUAAGUCGGGCCUCACAGCGUUGGCAAUCUAUAUGAUGACGGUGCACAAACUCCCGGUUUGGGCACUGAAGCGGCUAGUCCAACUGUGCCGUGCGUGGCUUUGGAGUGGUGAGGACACUUGCACUGGUGGCAAAUGCAGAGUGAGCUGGAAUCAGAUUUGCCGACCAAAACACCUUGGUGGUCUUGGUGUGCUAAACCUUGCAAAAUUUAGCGCCGCUUUACGCCUUCGGUGGAUAUGGCUGGCCUGGCAAGAUCCACCCAGACCUUGGUCGCGAUUGCCACUGCCAUGUGAUGACAGAGAUCAGAUGUUGUUUGCUAUGGCAACUGAGAUAUCACUCGGAGAUGGUAGGAAAACAAACUUUUGGCACGAUAGAUGGCUGUGCGGACAGUGCCCCAAAAUCAUUGCGCCGUCACUCUUCAGAAUCUCCACUCGAAAAAACCGCACCGUUCAGGAGGCCGUGCGAGAGGACACUUGGCUGUCGGGCCUCGCCAUCGGCCUUACUGAUGAAAUGUUAUCUGAACUCUCUCGCUUGGCCAUACUGCUCGAUGACGUGGUGCUGCGGGAAGGACAGCCGGACACCAUUGCUUGGCGGUUCACGUCGUCACAUGAGUACUCCGCGAGAUCCGCCUAUUUGCUGCAGUUCGAGGGGGCGAUUCAAAUGAAGGGAUACAACCUGAUAUGGAAGGCAUGGGCACCCGGAAAGUGUCGUUUCUUCUUAUGGACAUCCAUGUUGGGCAAGAUUUUGACGGCUGAUGUUCUGCUUCGCCGCGGCUGGGAGAACAACUACUUCUGCCCCCUUUGUGAACGAAACCUCGAGACCGCGCCACACUUACUAAUUGAGUGUCCUUGGUCCCGUUUCUCUUGGCAGAAAAUCGCUGCACUGUCCAGCAUCCCGGCGUUGUUACCUGACUCAUGGGAUGGAAGGGCUAGUGUUCAAGACGGGCUCUCAGGCUGUUUUGGCCGUGCAACAAAAAACAAAAAGAAAGGAACCUUGUCCCUGAUCUAGUUGAUGUCCUGGGAAUUAUGGCGAGAGCGGAACAGAAGGAUAUUUCAGCAAGAAUUCAUGAGGAAGGAAGCGUUUGUACAGAGAGUGAGAGACGAAAUUAAGCUCUGGAAUAUGGCCGGAGCGGGCAUUCCUUUUGACCCAGGCUGAGCGCUCUCGAUAGUGCUUUUCUUUCCUUUCUUCUUUUGUUCCUUCCUGUCGAGCCGCUUGGCGCUGACCCAUCUUGGGUUCCCCUGUAGCUCGAUUUUUUUCUCCUCUACUGAUUAAUGAAUUUGGUAGCUGCACUACCAACAUUCAAAAAAAAGAAAAAGGGUUAUAGAUGAUGUGGCCUCUAAUGGUGCAUCAGGCAUGUGGUGCGUUAUUACUAUAUUCUAAUGGCGCACCAAGCAUGUGGUGCGUCAUUACUAUGUUCUAAUGGCGCAUCAUGUUCUGGUGCGUCAUUAGUAGUUUUGAAAAAAAUUCUUACUGAUGGCGCACCGUUAUACAGUGCGUCAUUACUAGUUGACAUAGUAAUGGCGCACCAAACACACCGUGCGUCAUUAGUACUUUUGAAAAAAAAAUGUUNNNNNNNNNNNNNNNNNNNNNNNNNNNNNNNNNNNNNNNNNNNNNNNNNNNNNNNNNNNNNNNNNNNNNNNNNNNNNNNNNNNNNNNNNNNNNNNNNNNNNNNNNNNNNNNNNNNNNNNNNNNNNNNNNNNNNNNNNNNNNNNNNNNNNNNNNNNNNNNNNNNNNNNNNNNNNNNNNNNNNNNNNNNNNNNNNNNNNNNNNNNNNNNNNNNNNNNNNNNNNNNNNNNNNNNNNNNNNNNNNNNNNNNNNNNNNNNNNNNNNNNNNNNNNNNNNNNNNNNNNNNNNNNNNNNNNNNNNNNNNNNNNNNNNNNNNNNNNNNNNNNNNNNNNNNNNNNNNNNNNNNNNNNNNNNNNNNNNNNNNNNNNNNNNNNNNNNNNNNNNNNNNNNNNNNNNNNNNNNNNNNNNNNNNNNNNNNNNNNNNNNNNNNNNNNNNNNNNNNNNNNNNNNNNNNNNNNNNNNNNNNNNNNNNNNNNNNNNNNNNNNNNNNNNNNNNNNNNNNNNNNNNNNNNNNNNNNNNNNNNNNNNNNNNNNNNNNNNNNNNNNNNNNNNNNNNNNNNNNNNNNNNNNNNNNNNNNNNNNNNNNNNNNNNNNNNNNNNNNNNNNNNNNNNNNNNNNNNNNNNNNNNNNNNNNNNNNNNNNNNNNNNNNNNNNNNNNNNNNNNNNNNNNNNNNNNNNNNNNNNNNNNNNNNNNNNNNNNNNNNNNNNNNNNNNNNNNNNNNNNNNNNNNNNNNNNNNNNNNNNNNNNNNNNNNNNNNNNNNNNNNNNNNNNNNNNNNNNNNNNNNNNNNNNNNNNNNNNNNNNNNNNNNNNNNCCUAUAUGAAUAUUUUUUCAUAUUCAUAAAUAAUUUCAAAUAAAAAAUUUGAACAUAUUUUUAAAAAAAUUAUUACUGUUUUUAUAAAAAAAUAUUACUGUUAUGAUUUAAACAAGUUUGAACAUAUUUAAACACAAAUAAAUACCAAACAACAUUUAAAAUGCAUAAAAACAAAAAUUGGGGAGCCUGGGAAUCAAACCCAGGACCUCCUAGUGUGUGUGCUGCGUGCUGAUCAGUCGGGCUAGUGGGCAGGUUUUGAUUUAGAUAGGGUUCUGAUUUAGAUAGGGUUAGGUGGUACUUAUGGCGCACUAGGUGGAGGUGCGCCAUUAGAACCCUCCCCCCACUCCACCUGUUGCCCUCGCGCACUGUGGCCUCCCUCCCUUCCUGCCAGAUUCCCCAACCGGCCCGUGCGCGCGCCGCCCGCUCCUCUCCUCCAUGCCGCCGCCCCCACCACCGGCCCGUGCGCGCGCCGCCCGCUCCUCUCCUCUCCUCCACGCCGCCGCCCCCACCACUUGCCCGUGCGCGCGCCACCCGCUCCUCUCCUCUCCUCCUCCCUCCGACGAGCGAGGGCCUCCUCCGGCCCCUGCAGCAGCCAGCGAGCGCGGCCCCGACGCGCCCACCCCGCUUGCCCCUGCCGUCCUCCGCCACCGGCCCUUGCUCUCCUUUAACCGCGGCGAGCUCGGACCUGGCCCGGACGAGCUCGGACCUCGACCCCGACCCCUUUGUCGACCCCGACCCCGACCCCUCCGGCGACCAGGUACCUCUCCUCCUUCCUCCUUCCUCCCUCUCUCCACCCUUCCCCAUUCCUUCCAACCGAUGCUCCAAAAGGAAUUUCAAGACAUAAAUCACAUGCUCCAAAAGUUAGGGUUCAUCUGCUCCCUGCUAGUGUAGAUAUUUAGGUUGUUCAUCUGCUCCCUGCUGAUCUUCUUUGAUGAGAAUGUACCCUGGUCUUGAAUGUGUUAUGCACAAUGUGCAGAUGUUAGUGUAGAUACUAUUUUAUUGCAUGAAAAUAUUUAGAAUUUUACUUUAGUUGAGUGCUAGUGUAAUCAUGCUUGGAAAAGGAUAUUAUAGAAGAUUAAAAGUAGUUCAUUUAGGAUUUGGUAGUUGUCUGAAACUGUUGUAGUCUUAUACUACAGAAGAGUAAAAGUAGUUGGAUGAAAAUAGUAGGUUCCAUGUCACUGAAACUUUAGUGUUUGCUAAAACUGAGAUGUAAACUAAAGGAAUUUGUGAUUUGCAGAAGCUGUAGCAUACUCCAACAAGUGAUAAAUGCACUCAAAAGUUCACUAAGAAAAUGCAGAUGCUUCUCACUUGUUACUGAAAGUUUUCUGGAGUGAUAAAUGCAUGCAAAAGAAGUUUAGUUAACUGUUACUGUUGCUGUAUGAAUUCCAACCAGGUCAAUUUGCUGUCAAUUGCUCUGUAAUACUCAACCAGGUUUAUGCAAAAUGAAGAUCAACCAUGUUUAUGUAAUAGAUCAAAUUGCAAUAGAUUAUCUGCAGUAGAUCAAACUGCAGUAGAUUACUCAAUAUUCUUGCCAUUUGUUGAUAGGUUAUAAAUAUUGACCAUAAAUAAGAAUGAAUAUUGACCAUUUGUUGCUGCUAGCACAUGUUGAAGUGUACCUGAUGAUGCUUCUGUAGAAAAUUCAACCUUCCUCCUCAGGCAUGUGUUGUGUGACCUGACAAAAUAUAAAUGUGUUGUGUGCCAUGUGUUGGUAAUUCAGUAAAGUCAAACAAGUACUGGAUUUGGGCAUGUUGCUUGCUGAAAUUGUAGCAACAACAACAACAACUAUGUGUUGGUAAUUCAGUUUGUCUUAUGGGUCAUCUAAAAAAAUGUUUUAUUGGAUCAUUCUUGCUGACAACUCCUUGUGGUCAAACUCCUUGCUGACAACUGUUGUACUUGUGAGAUUCUUGUCCUUGAAUCAAAUGUGCUAUUGGUUUAGAAUGGCACUAUGAUUGUGAUAUCAUCGGUUGCAAUGUUAUUUGCAUACUUUUUCUGAACCAAAGGUUUAUAUGGUAGAUGUAUUAACAUGCCUAUCAGUCAUGUUGGUGAACUGAGAGAUGAACUGAGACCAUACAUACCUUGUUUAACCAAAGGUUUGUCUGUGGAAAUUCCUCUUUGUGGUUAUCAUGAUGGGGCUGCAGAUGAGCUUACUCUGUUACUCUGCAGAUGAGCUUACUUAUUUGUUGUGCUUGUUGUCCAGCUUACUCUCCGUUACUUUGCCCACUGCUUUCACAAUGAGAGAUUUUUCUUGGAUAAACUUGAUAUAGAGUGGUUAUUUUCAUGCAUGUUUUAUGAUCUAUUGUAAGGGUACUAAUUGGUCUCUUCUGCUGCUUAUCAGAGAUGGGGGGAAGCAGCCACCGCCGCUCUGCCACACCGUAGUACGAGUUGGAUGCUUCCGAGUUCUUCAGUAUCAUACUUGGGACUUCAGUAUCAUCCAUGACGCAUGUAUAUAAAAUGAGAGAUCUCCCCUUCACCCAUCUCAUUAUGAUAUCUGUUGUUUGCUACAUCACUCAUUGUCCCAAACUGCAGAGGCUGCCUGACAGUUUUAUGAACAUGUUGGGUGAAGAUCCGCCAAAUAAUGUGAAGCUGCGACAGGCCAGCAGCGGGUUUCGCAGGCUGUGGGAUGUGGAGUUGGUGAUCAAGGAGGGCCACAUGUACUUGUAUCGUGGGUGGGAGAAGUUCUACCGUGCCUACGACCUGCGGCUGGGGUACUUCCUUCUCUUCAGGUACGACGACACCAUGCUCACCAUGAAGGUGUUCAACACGACUAUGUGUCGCAUGUGCUACGCUGGCAAUGAUGAUGCCAGUACGUUCUGCCUCUUCUUAUUCCUCUACAUUUGGCUUUGUCUCACAUCGAUUGUUAACGGUCAUUGUUGCAUUUGGACAGGCAAUGGGAGCAGUAGCAGUGACACUGGCUACAGCCAAAGCAACAACAAUUAUGGUUGUAGCAAAAGCAACAUCGAUUCUAGCUUUAGCGAAAGCAGCAGCAAUUCUGGCAGCAAUGAUUCUGACAAGAAGAAGGAUGAUCCCGACUGGAGUGGGGGAGAAGAGGAGCAGAGUGGGGAUGAGGAGUUGUAGGAUGACGAUGGGUAUCAAGCUGAGGAUGACCUAGUGCUGGUGGUGGUUGACCAAGGGCAAGAGAUGGUGGUGGCUGACCAUGGGCAAGAGAUGGUGGUGGCUGACCAUGGGCAAGAGAUGUGGUGGAUGAGGAUGACCUAGCGAUGGUCGUGCCCGUCCUGCCUGAAGGUGGCCUCGCGAUGGUGGUGGUGCCUGACAAUGACCACGCACCGGUGGUGGCGCCGGCGAUCCCACAGCUGGGCGACAUGACCACGCCAAUUGUGGUAGAAGACUACAUCCCGCUGCCUCCACCGCAUCGCCGCUCUUGGCGCAUCAGGCUGAGGAAGGAGAAGGAGAAGAACAAUGAGAACUGAACUAUGUCAGGUAUGUCAGAUCUCCAAAAUGAUAUUUAUAUACUUAGUUACCUAUGUUAUCUCUAAUAUGCUUAGUUUCCUAUAGGUUAGCUUCAUUUUACCUAAGUUGGCUCUAAUAUGCUUAGUUUCCUAUAGGUUAGCUUCAUUUUACCUAAGUUGGCUCUAAUAUGCUAACUUAGAGCUUAUAUGCUUAGUUUCCUAUAGGUUAGAUCCAAAAUAACUUAUGUUAGUACAAAAUGAUCAAGUUUACAUAAUGAGCUUAUAGUCUUCUUCUUAUUCUUCUUCUUUUCCGAAAUGGCAUAGGUUAGCUUCAUUUUACCUAAGUUGGCUCUAAAAUGCUAAGUUAGAGAGCUUAUAUGCUUAGUUUCCUAUAGGUUAGCUCCAAAAUAACUUAUGUUAGCACAAAAUGAUCAAGUUUACAUAAUAAGCUUAUAGUCUUCUUCUUAUUCUUCUUAUUCUUCUUCUUUUCCGAAAUGACAUAGGUUAGCUUCAUUUUACCUAAGUUGGCUCUAAUAUGCUAACUUAGAGAGCUUAUAUGCUUAGUUUCCUAUAGGUUAGCUCCAAAAUAACUUAUGUUAGCACAAAAUGAUCAAGUUUACAUAAUAAGCUUAUAGUCUUCUUCUUAUUCUUCUUAUUCUUCUUCUAGUAUUCUUCUAGUCUUCUUCUUCUUCUUCUCUUCUUCUUCUCUUCUUCUUCUUCUUCUUCUUCUUCUAACUUCUUGUUUAUCAUUUUGCAGAUUUGAUUUAAUUCACGGAAGCUUGCAUGGAUGGAGUGCUUCUUUUCCAUUUGUGUUUUUAUUUUGUAUCAAUGUGAAACUUUUGUGAAUUGAUGGAUAACUGUGUUGGAUGAACAAUGUGAAACUUUUGUAAUAUGUAACGAUGGAACUAUGUGUUGGCUAUGUAUGUACAUAUGAUGAAACUUGUGUGUUGGAUAUGAUUGUUAUAUGGAUGCUUGUUGUAUAUAUAUGUGUUGGAUAUCUCAUAUGUGAAAUAGUGACCUGAGAUUAAGAAAAAACGAAAAAAAUAAAAAAAAUUGUUACUAAUGGCGCACUACCAUGUGGUGCGCCAUUAGUAUAGCAGAUACUAGUGGCGCACUGUGGGCAAUACUAAUAGCGCACUACGUGGUGCGCCAUUAGAACACCAGAUACUAAUGGCGCACCAGUGGUGCGCCAUUAGAAUUUAAUUCUAAUGGCGUGAUGCUAGUGGCGCACCGGUAGUGCGCCAUUAGAAGGUAAAACUGGUGCGCCACUAGCAUGCCUUUUCCUAGUAGUGUGGAAAGGAUAUACAGGGGCCUUGCCUUGGAUCGGCUCCCUUUGCAGUGAGAAGAACAAGAGAUGAACGGGCUGUUUGGUCUCCAACGCGCGCACAAAAGUUUCGCGCCCUAAAAUAAUUUUAUCACGCCGGAUCCAACAUUAGUUUACCAGAUGCCAAAAACGCGCGUCCAAAAAAACACAUAAUGUAAAUUGUGAAGUGCAUGCAAUCCGACGCCUCAAAUUUGCAGCAUGCGAUAGCGUCUUUCAGCGCUCGCUUAACCUUUUUUUGCGCGCGCACUAUUUUACACCUUCUACUGGGGCUGCCCGGUGCCCAAAAAUCCAAAAUUUUAGCGUGUGGAGUAGUUUUUUGGUGCCUGUUGAAGAUGCUCUAAGGCAUAGGAGUGCCACAUUUUGCCAUAAAAUAUUGUUAAAUUUGUUUGAGUUUAGUUUUUUAAAAUGAGCCACAAGUUGCAAGUAUAAGAGCAACUCCAACGCGCCGACCCAAAUGAACGCAUGUUUUGUUCAUUUGGGUCGGCCGCCCACUCGGCAUCCGCCCUGUUUUUGGUUUGGAUCGGCAGUGCGCCCAACACGCUGACCCAUAUUUGUUCGCACGGCCGGCUUGCCGUGUUUUUCAACCAAUAUACACACAUUUCGCAUGGUUUCACAAGUACACAAAUAUAUCAUAGUUUCACAACCCAAAUAAAAAUAUCAUAGUUUACAAGCUGAAUAAAAAUUAAAUUGUCUCAAAUACAUUUUUAAAAAAGUUACAUCUAUUGGUCGCCAACAUGAGUCCACAUAUACUCAACCGAAUCAUCUUGCACCUGGAUGUGAGUUUCCCAAUCACGUAUUUGAUGAUGAAAUUGGGUGAACUGUGCAAACGUUGCCGCUCCUCCUUUGUGCUCAGGCACAAAAUUGUCACCCUGAACUAAAAUCCUUGAUCGUAGAUACGUUCCGGGUGCUCAUCCUCUACGUUCAUAUUGUGCAUGAUCACACAAGCAAGCAUCACCUCCCAGAACUUCUUGGUGCUCCAAGUUCUAGCAGGAUACCGAACGAUGCCCCAUCGAGAUUGCAGAACACUAAAGGCGCACUCGACAUCCUUCCUAGCACUCCCUUGCUCUUGGGAAAAUCUCCUCUUCUUCUCUCUGACAGGGUUUGGGAUUGUCUUCACAAUAGUGGUCCACUAAGGAUAGAUACCAUCGGCUAGGUAGUAUCCUUUAUUGUACUUGUGCCCGUUGAUGUUAACAUUCACCGGCGGGCAGUUGCCUUCGGCAAACCUUUUAAACACCGGCGAGUGUUGAAACACGUUGAUAUCAUUGUGUGAUCUGGCCAUGCCGAAGAAAGAGUGCCAGAUACAGAGAUCUUGUGAGGCCACAGACUCAAGUAUGACAGUCCAAACCUUGACAUGGCCCCUAUACUGCCCUUGCCAAGCAGAAGGGCAGUUCUUGCACUCCCAGUGCAUGCAGUCUAUACGGACAAGCAUCCCUGGGAAGCCCCUCUGCUGGCAUUCAUCGCCAAUAAGAGGGUUGUAUCUUCAGCAGUUGGCUCUCUUAAGUACUCAGGGCUAAACCUGCAACCACAGCCUUGCAGAACUUGUACGUUGAGUCUAGGCACGUAGACUCGCUCAUAUGGAUGUAGUCAUCAAUGAGAUCACCAGACACUCCGUAUGCAAGAAUUCGAAUAGCUGCAGUGCAUUUCUGAUAAGAGGAGCAAUCUUUCCAAGGGCAUCCUCCUUGCACUCGAAAUACUUACUGCAUCCGAUAACCCCCUCCCGAAUACAGUUGAAAACAUGCCUAGCCAUAUGGAAACGGCGCCGAAAUCGGUGAUGUUUGAAGAGCGGGUUGGGUGUCUCAAAGUAGUCCUUCCAAAGAAGGAAAUGACAGCUCUCUCGCUUGCAAUUCGAUGUCGGAGUGUGCCCCGAGAUCGAGCCCCAGAACAACGGUCGCUGCCUACUAAGGUGGUCCGAGUGCUUCAGGGCCACUCGAUGUCCGUUCUCAACUGGUUAUCCUUAAGUGAAACCGCAGCGGAUUCUAGACUAAAGGUUUUCCGAGUGGUCUAAUAGUGUUGAUCCCUGGGCAAAACUUGGUGGCAUUUGUGUGUCUCUCAAGAGAGAUAGACUUGAGGUCCGAGUGAGGGCAUGCCAUGAAACUCGAGUGAUGACGCCAGCGCAAGGUCUGACUCUCCAGAGAGACGCCACUCUUUAUCCCAGGGAAUGCCAACACAGGCCAUCUCCAAGUCCAAAUUUAUGAGGCUCGUGCCUUGGAGCAUAGUGAAAGGGUCAAGUUAACCCGCGGAGGGGCAUCAAGCUCAUCCCAUUGCGGUCCUGAAGACGACUUCAGUCGGGUGUUUUACGUGUCCAAGUGCACGACAACCUUAGGAAGGUGGUCGGUCGGGCCGACGGGUGUCCUUUAGGAAAGGAGCGGGAGGUAAUCAAUUAGAUUGAUUUCUCGCUGAAAUCUCGGGAUUUGAAAUUGAGCGUGCGCGCACUGAGCGGUUACGCCCUGGCUUAGUGGGUAAGGGAGUCCUGGAUUAGGGGGUCCUCGGGUGUUCGGUCUAGUCGAUAUGGGCUGGACUGAUGGGUCGUGAAGAUAAAACAGAAGACUAUCCCCCGUGUCCGGGUAGGACUCCUAUAUGCAUGGACAACAAGCUUGGUGUUCGGGUGUACUAUUUCCUUCCUCUGCAAACCGAAUUUGUACAACCCUAGGCCCCUAUGGUGUGUAUAUAAACCGGAUGGUUUAGACCAUAGAGGCUAUCAGAAUAAUCAUAGGCUAGACAACUAGGGUUUAUCCAUUACGAUCUCGAGGUAGAUCAACUCUUGUAAUCCCUAUACUCUUCAAAUACAAUCAAGCAGGGCGUUGGAUUUUACCUCCUUUAAGAGGGCCCAAACCUGGGUAAACAUCGUGUCCCUAUUGUCUUCUUAUUACCAUUGAUCCUUAGACACGCAGCUUGGGACCCCCUACCCGAGAUUUGCCGGUUUUAACACCGACAUUGGUGCUUUCAUUGAGAGUUCCGUUGUGUUGUCGGCUGAGGAAUCGAUGGCUCGCCUCUUUGUGUUUGGCAGCUUCGUGCUACAUGCCAACUCGAUCGGUUACCUCGAGUAGGUCGAUAGCUAUGCCCCUGGUCACCAGAUCAGGUUUGGAAGUCUAAACUACAUCGCCGAUAUCAGAGGAGACCUGAUCUUUGAAGGCUUCACGGCCUCGGCCGCCGCUCCUCGCCCGCACGAAGAAGGCCCUUAAGAUCUACUAUCAGAUCCCGUCCAAGGGUCGACACUCACGCUCGGCCUGGCCUUAGAUCUGGAGUGGACCGCAUCGUUCGAAGACGGGAGGAUAAACCUCGCCGGACUCUUUUCCCCCAUGGAGCUUCCAGCCGGAGACUCAGAGACGACCGCACCAUUGGCGGACCCGGAGUCAAACGGGACUCUUCCCGUUGUCGGGGGUCCAGACUCGCCUCCGGAGUCGAACUCCGAACUCUUGAAGUCUGUGCCCCUCGGGCUCGGGCAAGAGGUUAUCGCCGAGCCUAGUCCCGCAGAUCCUCAGACGUCUGUCCAGCUCUCGCUUUUAAACGAAGAUCUGGACUUAAUACAAUCUCUCGCCAUCACGGAGGUAUCGCCUCCGAACUAUACCCAGCUCGAACUGGGGGUUGAGAACAGGUAAUUUUACAUCCCACCCACCACCCACUUAAUAGCCGAUGUCGAGGAUCUAACCGACAUGCUAGAUUACGCCUUUGAAGAUAUCGACGACAUGGACGACAAUGUCAAAACCGAACCAAGAUUCGACCCGCCCAUCACUGGGAGUUGGACGGCCACCUCUACCUACAAUGUAUACAUGAUGGAUACACCUGAGAAUAAGGACGACAAUGGCACUCGAGAUCCAGACGAGGACAAGCCCAUCAAUGACCACCAAAGCGUCAGUGUCAGAGGCGCCGCUCACGAUCAUGUCGGGCAAGGGAAAGCAAUACCGGCACUGAAGAUAAUGACACUCCGAACAACGCCGAAGACCCCGACCACCCCGUCGAGCCUACGUUUGAGAAAGAUGAAAGGGAAGAGGGUCAAUACAGCCCCGAACACGCUAAUCACAAGGAUUUAGAAGAUAGUAACUAUUUACCUGUCUCUGAAGAGGAUGUUAGCCUUGGUGACGAUGAUUUCAUCAUCCCAGAGGAACCCCUCGAACAAGAACACUUCAAGCCAUAGCUCAUCGCCACCGCGCGGAGCCUGAAAAAGAAACAACAGCAGCUUCAAGCCGAACAGGAUACACUCAAUGAUAGAUGGACCAAGGUCCUAGCUGUCGGUGUCAAAACCAGCGAAUCUCGGGUAGGGGGUCCCGAACUGUGCGUCUAAGGUCGAUGGUAAUAGGAGGCGGGGGACACAAUGUUUACCCACGUUCGGGCCCUCUCUACCGAGGUAAUACCCUACUUCCUGCUAUAUUGAUCUUGAUGAUAUGAGUAUUACAAGAUUUGAUCUACCACGAGAUCGUAAUGGCUAAACCCUAGAAGUAUAGCCUAUGAGGAUUGUCUAUCUGUCCCUACGGACUAAGCCCUCCGGUUUACAUAGAUACCGGAGGCGACUAGGGUGCAGAGUCGGUUACAGAGAAAGGAAUCUACAUAUCCGAUCGUCAAGCUUGCCUUCCAUGCCAAGGAGAGUCCCAUCCGGACAUGGGAGAGAAUAUUCAGUCUUGUAUCUUCAUAGCCCUACAGUUCAGCCCACAUCAAUAGUCCGGAUGUCCGAGGACCCCUUAAUCUGGUACUCCCUCAGUAGCCCCUGAACCAGGCUUCAAUGACGAGGUGUCCGGCGUGCAGAUUGUCUUCGGCAUUGCAAGGCAGGUCCUCCUCCGAAUACUCAAAAUAUUCUUUCGAACACAAGAAACGUAUCCGACUCUGCAAAACAAAUACCACACACAACCGUAGAGAGUACAAUAAUUCACGAGUUCAAUCUGCUGACAACUUUUUACAACAUGACAUCACAUCGAUGCCCGGUUAUUAUUCGAACCGUUUUUUAGCCCACCGCCCCAUGUUUCAAGAUGCGGUUCCAUUGGCACGUCUCGUGAAAGCAGAGAUUGUGUCCCCUUAUUGCGAGAUUCUCAUCAAUACGGGUAUGGGUAAUCCCACCGCACCGUUUGCACGGCCCUUGGGGAUAAGCAAGUUUUUAGGGCAAGUGGGGAGGCGCUUGAUAUUCACUGUCUUUAUAAAGGGAUAAGGAUCCAACUCUUUCACCCAUGCCUUCUCUCUACUUCCCCAUUCUCGAGCUCCAGCGCCAAAGCUUCCAUCUCUUCCGCCCCCAAAAGCACUCCAACCAUGUCCGGAUCCAGAGCGCAGGGCAAGUGGAUGGCUUCCUCCGUCAAGGAGAAGGAUAUCCAGAAAUUCCGGGAGGCCGGGUAUCUGGCCAAGGAGAUCGCGCACCGUCUCCCGGCCGUGGGACAGAUCGUCCCUACUCUAGAACCCCAUGAGAGGGUUGUAUUCCUCCCUCAUUUUGUUUGCGGGUUGGGGUUUCCCCUCCACCCUUUCGUUCGCGGGCUCAUGUAUUACUACGGGAUAUAUUUCCAUGACCUAUCCCCCAAUUCCUUCCUCAACAUCUCGACAUUUAUUGUCGUGUGCGAGGACUUCCUCCGCAUCCCUUCACACUUCGGACUAUGGCUAAAGAUCUUCAACAUGAAGCCGAAGGUGGUAGGUGGCGAGCACGCCGAGUGCGGAGGCUCCAUGGUGAGCAAGAUGCCCAAUGUCAAAUGGACAUCAGGUACAGGGUGGCAACAACAGUGGUUCUACGUCACUGAGCCACGCGGCACCAAAUGGGACGCAGCUCCUGAAUUUCAAUUCGGAGCCCCAUUGCGGCUUACUUCCUGGCCCGACAAGGGCCUAGACUGGUCUUCGUCAGAGGAGCUGACGACGCUCCAGGCGCGUAUCAAGAGCAUGGGGGACAAGAAUAUCAAUAUUGUCGAUGUGGUCCAGGUGAUGCUAGUUCGCCGGAUCCUUGCAUGCCAACGCCAGACUUGCAAUCUAUGGGAGUUCGAUCCGGCCAAGCACCAGACCCUGCUAGAGUUCUUUGGCACAACGCACGAAGACAUUUGGAAGGUGCUAUUCAAGCCUGGCAAGUCGUGGUCGGACACCGCGGAGGAUCGUGGGUACAAAUUGUCCCGUCCCGCAAGUUCGGUAACUAUUUAUAUGUUUUCAAGGUGUAUUCUUUAUUUGCAUACUUGAGGGAAACGCCUAAUAUUUCCCUAAUGAUUCUCCCAGGCUGGACGAACAAGGUAGAGUGGAUCUACUAUCCGGCCCCGCUGCCCAAACAACAAGCAGGCCCACUUCUGACGAAGAUGCUGGUCCCGGCGCCUUAUAAGGCACCAAAGAAGAAGGCCAAGAAGGAGGCCAAGGAGACCAGGGGCGGUCUCCGUCGCAAGGGUACUUCGGACGUGGUGUCCGAAGACGCCGAGGCCCACUCCUCCGCCGAAGAAGACGAGGAAGAGGAGGAAGAAGAAUAGGAAAGCCAUUCCCCCCUACGAGGGGGAGAAAGAAGAGGACGGCCUCCAAACAUUUGGAGGCUGAAACGUCUAAGAAGGGGAAACCUUCCCUUUUAGACAAAUCCACCACAACCACCAACAGCAGCCUGGAGUGGGAACCCAGGGUCAAGCCCCUGGCCAAAUCCUGAGUAGAAAGAAACCCGGACACAUUCAUAUAUCUAGCCUCACUAUUGCAUAGUAUUAAUAUGUUGAAUCAUGCAUUUUGCAGUCCGGCCAGGUCCAACGUCGAGCGAUCUUCAUCAGAGGACUCGCUAGACCUGGAUGCGAUGGACAACAGGACCCUCCCGACGGCCUCCUCCCCCAAGGGCAUGGACAACACCGAGGUGUCAUCCCAAAGGAACCCAGGCCAGGGAGGAGCUCAGGAGACCGUCGGGGCGACACCGGAGGGUCAAACCUCGGCAACCAGACACAUGGGGGAGCAGACCGCCAUGGAUACUGACAGCGGGGGCCAUCCUGAAUUCAGCCCCCCGGCCAGACACAAUUUCGGAGACCAAUACGGAUCCGGAAUCAGGCAAGCAACCCCCUUCAACAUAAGAGGGUGCGCCUAUUCCACCGGUGACCUCUGUCCACCCAGAGGCGCCGGAUUCUUUGUUGGUGGCGAUGCGAAGCGCUUCCAUUGUUGAAGGGCAUAGUACCCUUAUGGGUGCAAUGAUUGAGAAGAUUCAGUCCGCCAAAAGCGGGUUGACCGAAGCCUGCACUAGCCUUCUAACAGGCUUUGAGGUAAGCAGUGAAGUUAAAUAUAAAAAUAAUGUCACAAUAUAGAUAGUAGCCCCUGAUACACUGUUCGGUGUUCAAAAAGAAAAGCCGGACAAAGGAUCAAAUAAUUUUCGCAGGAGACUAACUAUGAAAUAUCUAUCUGAAUAAGUAGGCGUCCUUAUUGACUGCAACCUCUCAUACCGCGGAGGUCUCCGGACUGAAGCAGAGUCUGGAGCAAGCCGAGAAAGAGCUCGACCAUGUAAAGAAGCAACUGGAGGAUAACCAAGGUAUGGAAUAACCUUGUUUGUAUUCAAUACGGAUGAAUAAUUUAUUUUGACUAAAAAUGUCAUGACAUAUAUUAGGAGCGGCAACCGAGGUCGAGGCUCUCAAGAAGGCGCUAGCCGAGGCCGAAAAGAAAGCGGCCAAGGAGCAGGCCGCUCGUGAAAAGCACGAGGCCAGGGUCAUUGAGGUUCAACAAGAGCUCCAAGAGGCCGUGAAGAAGUGUGUGAUCCUGGAGCAGAGUAUGGCGGAUAAAGAAUCUGAACUCACCAAGGCUCGUCAAUCCGCACACGAUCCCGGGUUGAAGCCCAAGGCGCCCUCUAGGAAAUCCAGGAGGCCAGAAAAAUCACGGCGGGUAAGGCAUUUAUUACGCAGAGCAAAUAUGUGACGGAAAAGUUCCUUUUACUGACCCGAAUUCGGAGUUCUCCAGGAGUGUUUGCGGAUCUGCCGCACAGCGUGUCCGACGCCACAUAAUUCUACCGAGCCGAAGAGGGGAGCUCUAUGGAGAAGCUGUUCUGGUCGCAAUAUCUUGCGCCAGAACAUCCAGUGCCCUUUAUCGAUCAGCUGAAACAGCUGGUCGAGCUGCAUAGGGCGGUCAAACUAGCCAUGAAGGAUUUGAUAAUCCGACUAUGUCCUGCCGAAGCUAUUCCCAGCAGCUACUUCGGACUUGUGAAGCGGCUGGUUAGUGCCUGCCCUCGGCUUGACGCCAUCAAGCGGUCGGUCUGCAUCGAAGGCGCGCGAAUGGCCUUCGCCCGCACCAAGGUGCACUGGGCAAAGAUGGAUGCCAUGAAGCUGAUGACCGAAGGACCGCCCGCAGGGAAGGAGCACCGCAAGCCCGAGAUGUACUAUGAAAGUGUCUUGGAGGGAUACCGCCUUCUGGCAGAGCAAUGUGCCAAGGAUAUUAUAUUCCCAUGAAUACAUUCAUGUUAUCUUGUGAUGUAAUAUGGAACAAGGUCGUUAUGUAAUAUAAUGCUUGUUAUUUGAAAUUUUUACCUCCUGUGCGGCCGUUUUUAUAUUAAUUCUGAGUGUUGGCCAGUCGUCGGCUUCUGCCCCCACAUAGGAAGUACGAUGGUGUUCGGGAUAAAUCUAAACACUCUUUACUCUAGAUUUUGGUCCUUAAAGAAGGUGUUUAGCGCAACGAACCAGGCAAUCGGAGUAUAAGGCUUUAUCACCCUCACUUAGCCAUAGGAGUUUGACAGUAAAAAAAUGUAGGCGCAGCCCCUAGUGUUCGGAAGUCCGAACUUGGGGUUCUGUAAACACCUAACUGGAUAAAAACUGAUUUGUCGAACGAUGCAUUAGAUAUCGCAUAAUGCGGAAGAAAUCGUUAAAGAUUUUGUGACCUCUCGAACAUCUGACCAGCUCUCGCCGCAUCAUGAUAGUUGGUUUUCGUCUUUCUCUACUGAGGUGCUCAUCCGGAAGAACUGGGACACAAUCGCAGUAGUUCUACCUUUACUACCCUAGCCGAUAUAGAGGAACGUAAGGUAGCAAGCACAGGAGCCGGGCAACCCAACUAUUGACCCAAGACAUGAUUCGGAGCCGAUGCAUAUAAUGCUAUAAGUUCGGGGUGCUGAACAACUGUAAAGGUGUUCAGACUUUCUUGCCGUGUUAUGGGGUACAAUGAAGCCCCUGGCGAAUUAAGGCAUACCAGAGUGUAUGGUUGCAAUUUGACAAAAAUAUCAAAAAAUGAAACAGCAAGUGAAUGUCAUAUAAAUAGAGCUGCAAAUUUCAUUGUAAUUCAAUAAUACGUCAAAGCAUAUAAGUACAAGUAGUGCGAUAAACAAUAUGACUUAGGAACGUGCUGAGACCAGGGGGAACUGCGUGCGGAUCCAGUGACACAUAGAAUGAUCAUCGAGAAGAAUAUCUAGAGAUUCCCUCGCGCGGUCGAGCUACUUCCCUCCUUGGUAUAUCCGUCCUUUGAUAGGUCCAGCAAUCAGGUCGCCAGUAACGGCCUAGACAAAAAGUAACCUGAAAAGAAAAAUAAAAUGUAAAAUAAUGUGUGUCCAGGAGCGGUUGAGCUGCAUUGUGGAACACAACCUAGCUGUGCCUCUGUCUAUCCCAUGGUAUCUUUAGUGCGUAGUUAUGUACGCGCGGUACGAAGGCCGCAGUUUGGUCAGGGUUGGGACGGAGGCCGAAUUGCUAGUCAAGCUCUUGACGAGCUAUACUGUCCCGCUGCAGGGUAGUUCAGACUCUUUUGACAGUGUUCGGGAGCUUGGCCGCCGAAUUAAGGUUCAACCUGAAGAGGCUGCUCUAUGCUUCUGCUGCAAGGGCAGCGGUGUGCUCCUCAGUACGAAGGGAGCAUUCCGUGUUUCCAUUGACUGUUAUGAUACCACGUGGACCGGGCAUCUUUAGCUUGAGAUAAGCAUAGUGUGGCACCGCAAUGAAUCGAGCAAAUGCAGUUCGUCCGAGCAGUGCGUGAUAGCCACUACGGAAAGGGACGAUAUCGAAGAUUAACUCUUCGCUUCAGAAGUUAUCCGAGGAUCCGAAGACCACUUCCAGUGUGAUUGAGCCCGUACAGCGGGCCUCUACGCUUGGGAUGACACCUUUAAAGGUGGUUUUAGUGGGUUUUAUUCUUGAGGGGUCAAUACCCAUUUUGCGCACUGUAUCCUGAUAUAGCAGGUUCAGGCUGCUGCCACCGUCCAUUAGGACUCGUGUGAGAUGAAACCCAUUGAUGAUUGGGUCGAGGACCAGUGCGGCUGAACCGCCAUGACGGAUACUGGUCGGGUGGUAUCUGCGAUCAAAAGUGAUUGGGCAGGACGACCAUGGGUUAAAUUUUGGGGCGACUGGCUCCACCGCGUAGACGUCCCUGAGUGCACACUUGCGCUGCCUCUUGGGUAUAUGGGUAGCGUAUUUCAUGUUCACCGUCUUGACUUGGGGGGAAACUUCUUCUGACCCCCUGUUUUCGGUGGGCGGGGCUCCUCGUCAUCAUCAUCGCUUUGCGGCUCCUUCUCCUUGUGCUCGGUGUUUAACUUGCCAGCCUGUUUAAACACCCAACAUUCUCUGUUAGUAUGGUUGGCUGGUUUAUCAGGAGCGCCGUGGAUUUGGCAUGGACGAUCGAGUAUGCGGUCCAAAUUAGACAGGCCCGGAUUGUUUCUUUUAUAUGGCUUCUUUCGCUGACCGGACUUGGAGCCACUGAAUCCGGCGUUGACUACCAUGUCUUUGGUGUUGUCACCGUUGUUUCGACGCUUGUGUCUGCUGCGUUAGGGCUUGCCAUUGCUAUCUCUGGCUUUAGAAGUGCCAGUUUUACCUGAGUUGUUGUUGCUACAAGCUAGCCAGCUAUCUUCGCCCGCACAAAAGUGGGUCAUAAGCGUCGUAAGGGCUGCCAUGGACUUCAACUUUUCUUGGCCGAGGUGUUGGGCGAGCGAUUCGUCACUGAUGUUGUGUUUCAAAGCCGCUAGGGCUUCGGCAUCCGGACAGUCGACGAUCUGGUUCUUUUUAGUUAAGAACCUAGUCCAAAAUUUCCUAGCUGACUCUCUCGGCUGUUGGAUUAUGUGACUUAGGUCGUCAGGAUCCGGAGGUCGAACGUAGGUACCUUGGAAGUGGUCGAGGAAGGCAUCUUCCAGGUUCUCCCAACUGCCGAUGGAGUUUUCAGGCAGACUGUUCAACCAAUGCUGAGCUGGUCCCUUGAGUUUUAGCGAGAGGUACUUGAUGGCGUGGAGAUCAUCACCGCGGGCUAUAUGAAUAUGGAGAAGAAAAUCCUCAAUCCAUACCGCGGGAUCUGUUGUCCCAUCAUAUGAUUCGAUGUUUACAGGUUUAAACCCUUAUGGGAUUUCAUGUUCCAUUACUUCAUCAGUGAAGCAUAGGGGGUGUGCGGCGCCUCUAUGUCGGGCCACAUCGCGACGCAGCUCUGGUGGAGCUAGUUUGCGGUAUUCGGCCCGAACAGGGUUGUAUUUGUUACAUCCGGCAAGGCGGACGUCGUUGUGUAUGGGGCCGCGCCCCUGCGAUCCAUAGAUCGAUCUGGUCUAGCCUGCUUUGCCUUCCAAGUCAUGCCGCAGGUUAUGUGUGUAUCCCCGAGCUGUUGUGUUUCUAUUUGUUCGACGAGGUAGUGCGGGCUGGUGUUCGUACUGAGUUGCCGCUUUAUCCCGGCCACGUGGUGGUCGGUCAGCUGCAUUAUACACGGGUAGUACAGGCUCCAACGCCUCGUCAUCGAAUUGAGGUAGCAAUUUGCGCUUCGGGUAACUUUUGGUUGGCUGUUCGAGUCCAUAUUCCUCGGCUGCCAGGACCUCAGUCCAUCUAUCAGUGAGGAGAUCUUAAUCAGCUUGAAGCUUAUGCUGCUUCUUCUUUAGGCUCUUUGUAGUGUCUAUUAGCUGGCGCUUAAAACACUCCUGCUCGACGGGAUCCUCUGGCACGAUAAAGUCUUCGUCGCCGAGGCUCACCUCGUCCUUGGAGAGAGGCAUGUAAUUACUGUCCUCCGAGCCUUCGUUCAUGGCCUGUUCAUCAGGGCUGGCUCACCCGUCUUCCCGUUUUGCAUGUUCGAAAGUUGGCUCGACGGGGUCUUCGUUGUCUUCAGCAUCGUCCGGAGUGUUAUUUUCUCCAGUUUUGGUAUCACUGUUUUUACCAUGGCGUGAUUUGGAGCGAUGCCACUGACGUCAGCACUUUGACUGAUUUUCAGGAGGCUUAUCCUCGACUGAAUCCUUUUUGUCAUCGCCAUUGUUUUCCUUGGGUGUAUCCACCAUAUAUACGUCAUACGAGGAGGUGGCCGUCCAGCGCCUUGUGCGCGGUGGCUCUUGCAUCUCCUCCUCUCUGGCAUCAUUGUCCAUACCGUCGAUGUCUUCAGAGUCAUAAUCGAGCAUGUUGGUCAAAUCUUUGACAGUGGCUAUGAAGUGGGUGGUUGGUGGGGAUUGAAACUCUGCGCUCUCGGCUUCCAAUUCGAACCAGAUAUACUUCGGUUGAGAAUCCCCAGAUAAGGCAAGGGCCCUUAAUGAGUUUAGCACAUCGCCUAAAAGCGAGUGCCGGAAGAUAUCCACGGAGCUGAACUCAACGAUCGGCGCCUGAUUGACAGGCGCGGAUACACGUGGUUCGGAACCUAUGUCCACGGACGAGUCCGAGGUUCCGAUGACACAUGCCUCGUUGGAGGUCAGAUCUGUGUUCAGCUCCAACGCCGCUGAGCCUACGGUUUCCAUGGCAGGGUUGAGCCUCCCGUCCUCGAAUGGCGCAAUCUGCUCUGGCUCUAAGGCCAGAGCAGUUACAGGCGCUAUCUCCUGAGCAUGGUCCGAUGAAAGAUUUAGGUCAUGUUCAUCGUGGCGGCAGGGUGCGGCUGUCAUGGGCUCGAAUCCAUAGAAGAUCAAGUCUCCGCGGAUGUCGGUGGUGUAGUUCAAGCUUCCAAACCUGGCCUGAUGACCAGGGGCAUAGCUGUCAAUCUGCUCCAGAUGGCCAAGAGAGUUGGCCCGUGAUACGUCUCCGUCGUAUCUACUUUUCCAAACACUUUUGCCCUUAUUUUGGACUCUAAUUUGCAUGAUUUGAAUGGAACUAACCCGGACUGACGUUGUUUUCAGCAGAACUACCAUGGUGUUAUUUUUGUGCAGAAAUAAAAGUUCUCGGAAUGAGCUACAAAUCCAUGGAGAUAACUUUUGGAAAAUAUAAAAAAUACUGGCAAAAGAAUCAAGGGCAGGGGGCCCACACCCUGUCCACGAGGGUGGGGGCGCGCCCCCUCCCCUAGGCGCGCCCCCUGUCUCGUGGCCCCCCUGAUGCUCCACCGACCUCAACUCCAACUCCAUAUAUUCUGUUUCGCGGAGAAAAAAAUCAGAGAGAAAGUUUCAUCGCGUUUUACGAUACGGAGCCGCCGCCAAGCCCUAAUCUCUCUCGGGAGGGCUGAUUUGGAGUCCGUUCGGGGCUCCGGAGAGGGGGAUUUGUCGCCGUCAUCAUCAUCAACCAUCCUCCAUCACCAAUUUCAUGAUGCUCACCACCGUGCGCGAGUAAUUCCGUCAUAGGCUUGCUGGACGGUGAUGGGUUGGAUGAGAUUUACCAUGUAAUCAAGUUAGUUUUGUUAGGGUUUGAUCCCUAGUAUCCACGAUGUUCUGAGAUUGAUGUUGCUAUGACUUUGCUAUGCUUAAUGCUUGUCACUAGGGCCCGGGUGCCAUGAUUCCAUAUCUGAACCUAUUAUGUUUUCAUGAAUAUAUGUGAGUUCUUGAUCCUAUCUUGCAAGUCUAUAGUCACCUAUUAUGUGUUAUGAUCUGACAACCCCGAAGUGACAAUAAUCGGGAUACUUCUCGGUGAUGACCGUAGUUUGAGGAGUUCAUGUAUUCACUAUGUGUUAAUGCUUUGGUCCGGUACUCUAUUAAAAGGAGGCCUUAAUAUCCGUUAGUUUCCAUUAGGACCCCGCUGCCAUGGGAGGGUAGGACAAAAGAUGUCAUGCAAGUUCUUUUCCAUAAGCACGUAUGACUAUAUUCGGGAUACAUGCCUACAUUACAUUGAUGAACUAGAGCUAGUUCUGUGUCACCCUAUGUUAUAACUAUUACAUGAUGAAUUGCAUCCGACAUAAUUAUCCAUCACUGAUCCACAAGCUUUUCACCUAUUGUGCUUUGCUUAUUUAUCUUUCUGUUGCCACUAUUACAAUUACUACAAAACUGCUAUCGUUACUUUUGCCACUAUUACCAUUACUAUCAUACUACUUUGCUACUAAAUACUUUGCUGCAGAUACUAAGUCAUCCAGGUGUGGUUGAAUUGACAACUCAACUGCUAAUACUUGAGAAUAUUCUUUGGCUCCCCUUGUGUCGAAUCAAUAAAUUUGGGUUCAAUACUCUACCCUCGAAAACUGUUGCGAUCCUACUUGUGUGUUAUCAAGACUAUUUUCUGGCGCCAUUGCCGGGGAGGAUAGAUCUAUUAUUUGAGUCACUUGGGAUUUAUAUAUGCUGAUCACUAUGAAGAACUUGAAAGAUCAAAGAACUAAAAUUUAUCCCUCAACUACGAGGGGAGGUAAGGAACUGCCAUCUAGCUCUGCACUUGAUUCUCCUUCCGUUAUGAGUAAACUUGCGACACCUAAACCUGCUACUGCUAUGAAUUCUGAUAUGUCGCAUGUUAUUGAUGAUGCCACUUCUACUAUGCAUGAUACUUGUGAUGAAACUACUUCUAUGCUUGAUACUACUGUGCCAUUAGGUGAAUUUCUUGAUGAACAACUUGCUAGAGCUAGGGAGAAUGAAAUUAUUGAAACUGAUAAUAUUGAUGGUAGUGAUGAUGAAGGUUCUCCCCCUAAAUAUGAAUUUCUUGUUGUUUCUGAGGGUUAUGUUAUGGAUGAAGAAACUGCUAGAGAUCUUUUUGCUUGCAAUGAUAGAUCUAAUCUUAAGAAAUUACUAGCUAAACUUAAACAGAAAACUCUGAAUGCUAGAAUGAAAUAUGACCCUGCUUUUGCUACUUCACCUAUCUUUGUUACUGAUAAGGAUUAUGAAUUCUCUAUUGAUCCUGAGAUAAUUACUUUGGUUGAAUCUGAUCCUUUUUAUGGCAAUGAAUCUGAAACUGUUGUGGCACAUCUUACCAAGUUGAAUGAUAUAGCCACCUUGUUUAGUAAUGAUGAGAAGUCUCGCUAUUAUUAUAUCCUUAAAAUAUUUCCUUUCUCAUUAAAGGGUGAUGCUAAAACUUGGUUUAAUUCUCUUGAUCCUGGUUGUGUGCGUAGUCCCCAGGAUAUGAUCUAUUACUUCUCUGCUAAAUAUUUCCCUGCUCAUAAGAAACAAACUGCCUUGCGGGAAAUAUAUAAUUUUGUGCAAAUUGAAGAAGAGAGUCUCCCACAAGCUUGGGAAGGCUUCUCCGAUUACUUAAAGCUUUGCCUGAUCAUCCUCUUAAUAAAAAUGAAAUACUUGAUAUCUUUUAUAAUGGACUAAUUGAUGCUUCCAAGGACCACUUGGAUAGUUGUGCUGGUUGUGUUUUUAGGGAAAGAACAGCCGACCAAGAUGAAUUGUUAUUGAAUAAUAUGUUGAUUAAUGAAAGUAAUUGGACUCUUCCUGAGCCAAUUGAGCCAACUCCUGAUCCUAUUCCUAAACCAACUCCAAAGAAGAGGGUGUUCUAUUUCUGAGUCCUGAAGAUAUGCAAGAGUCAAAGAAAUCAAUGAAAGAAAAAGGUAUUAAAGUUGAAGAUGUUAAGAAUUUACCUCCUAUUGAAGAAAUACAUGGUCUUAAUAUACCGCCUGUUGAAGAAACAUAUUGUCUUCAUAACCCAACACAGGUAGUGAAGGUAAAUUCUCUCUAUAGAUAUGAUAAAGUUGAAAUCCCGUCUACUAAAUUUCAUAGCCAAUGUUUGGAUGAAUUUGAUGACUUUAUGGAUAAACAAGAAAAUUUCAAUGAUUAUGUUAGUAGACAGUUGAAAAAUAGUACUUAUAUGAUUGGACGCUUGAGUGAUUAUAUGUCUAGAGUUAAGGGUGAACUUAAACUCACUAGUAAACAUGUCUCUAUGGUCACCACUCAAGCCGAACAAGUACUUAAGGCUCAGAAUGAAUUGCUUGACGAAUUAAAUAAUAAACAUGAUUUUGCUGUUAGAGUGGCUACUAGAACUGGUAAAAUGACUCAGGAACCUUUGUAUCCUGAAGGCCACCCUAAGAGAAUUGAACAAGAUUCUCAGAAAAAUAAUUUAGAUGCUCCUAGUCCUUCUAAAAAGAAGAAAAAGAAAAAUGAUAGGACUUUGCAUGCUUCUAGUGAACCUAAUGUAGAAACACCUGAGAAUCUUAAUGAUAUUUCUAUCUCUGAUGCUAAAACACAAUCUGGAGAUGAACAUGAACCUAAUGAUAAUGAUAAUGAUGAUGUUCAUGUAGAUGCUCAACCUAGCAAUAACAAAGAUAUAGAAAUUGAACCUGUUGUUGAUCUUAAUAACCCACAAUCAAGAAAUCAAUGUUAUGAUAAGAGAGACUUUGUUGCUAGGAAACAUGGUAGGGAAAGAGAACCAUGGGUUUAGAAACCCAUGCCUUUUCCUCCUAAACCAUCCAAGAAAAAGGAUGAUGAGGACUUUGAGCACUUUGCUGAAAUGAUUAGACCUAUUUUCUUAUGUAUGCGCUUAACCGAUAUUCUUAAAACAAACCCUUAUGCUAAAUACAUGAAAGAUAUCAUUACAAAUAAAAGAAAAAUACCCGAAGCUAAAAUCUCCAUCAUGCUUGCCAACUAUACCUUUAAGGGUGGAAUACCUAAGAAACUUGGUGAUCCCGGAGUACCCACUAUACCAUGCUCCAUAAAAAGAAAUUAUGUUAAAACUGCCUUAUGUGAUUUAGGAGCCGGUGUUAGUGUUAUGCCUCUUUCCUUAUACCGUAGACUUGAAUUAAGUAAGUUGACACCUACUGAGAUAUCCUUGCAAAUGGCUGAUAAAUCAACUGCUAUACCUGUCGGCAUAUGUGAGGACGUGUCUGUUGUUGUUGCGAAUGUUACUAUCUUAAUAGACUUUGUCAUUCUUGACAUUCCUAAGGACGACAGUAUGUCGAUUAUCCUUGGUAGACCCUUUUUAAACACUGCAGGUGCUGUUAUUGAUUGCAACAAAGGCAAUGUCACCUUUCAUGUUAAUGGUAAUGAGCAUAUGGUACACUUUCCGAGGAAACAACCUCAAGUUCACAACAUAAACUCUAUUGGGAAAAUUCCAUCAAUAAUUAAUGGAGGUUUUGAAUUUCCUCUUCCUACUGCAAAGAAAAGGUAUGAUAUUCUUAUUAUUGGGGAUGUUCAUAUCCCCGUUGAGGUAACCUAGUAUCAAUUCGAAAUUUCUCCGGUUUCAUGUGAUUCGGAAUGAGUUUGUUAACCAGACUUGAUCAACCUUGUUAGUGGAUUCCUUUCAAUGAUCAUGAGAUGGAUGAAACUAGAAGGCACCACCUUCUGUACCCUCUUUUUAAUUCCUGUUAAUUAGAAUAAAUAAAGUAGAAAUAGUAUAUUUUGUCUGUUUUCUGAAUUAUCUAUGCAAUAAAAAAAUAUCCCGAAAAUAAAAGUUCUCCAAAUGCCAAGCCAAUUUCAUAUGAUUUUUUCUGAAAUAUUUGAGAAUAUUUGGCACUGAGAACACAUCAGGGGGAGCAAGCACCUGGCCACGAGGGUCCAGGGUGUGCUCACCCCUACAAGGCACGCCCCCCUGCCUCGUGGGCCCAUGGUGGCUCCCCUCCACUUAUUCCUGCACCCACACACUCCAUCUUCCUCCAAAAAAAAUCCCCAUCCAGCUCAAGCACGAGUUCUAGCUUGUUUUGCUGCCAUUUUUGAUCUCCUUGCUCAAAGCUCCAUUCACAAAACUGCUUUGGGAGAUUGUUGCUUGGUAUGUGACUCUUCCAAUGAUCCAAUUAGUUUUUGUUCUAGUGCUUUAUUCAUUGCAAAUUCUUGCUGCUUAGGUGACCCUGUUCUUGAGCUUGCAUGUUAAAUUUAUGAGGUCCCAAGUAACUCUAAUGCAUGAUAUAGGCUCUAGGCACUUAUGGGAGUAGUUGCUAUCAAUCUUGUUUAGUUUGAUUCACUUUUAUUUUGAAGUUACUAAAAAUUUCAGAAAUUUUCAUAAAAAGAUGAAGAGGUUGUUCUUGAGGGGCUCUUCUAGCCAAAGCUCCAAGGAUAAGCAAGCUAAGGAGAAAGAAAAGGCCAAGUAUAAUCUUCCUCGUGUAGCGGAAGUGAGGCCUUGUGAGUGGCCAUGUGAUAAUUUCUUGAGAGCAGUCGAGAUUUAUGAAGACUUUUAUUCUUUGGCUGAAAAUGCGGGCCUCACCAACUUCCUCCACGACCGGAUCGGACAGUAUCUCUUACUUACCAAUACUUUCGUGCAAAACUUUUAUUAUUAUCCCAAGAAUUCACCUCCUUCGGUAUCUUUUCAUUUAUAUGAUGAGGCUAAGGAAAUGUCAUUACGUAAUUUUUGUGUAGUUUGUAGAAUACCCUUUGAGGGUAGCUUAGAUGAACCACAUCGUAAAGAUGUGGAUGGUUUCAUUGAUACUAUUACUAUAGGGGAAUCGAAGAAGGGUUCCGAUGCGAGAAUCACUAGCAUACUUUUUCCUGUUUUACGCUAUUUUGCCAUAUUUGCUAGUCGAUGCUUAAUUGGUCGUGGAAAUAGUGGAAACUUCAGUGUUCCUGAUAUUAUUAUUCUGCUCCAUGCCUUAUUCGGUGAUAACACUUUUAGUAUGGGUGCCGUUAUUGCUAAACGUUAAGCCUAAAUCAUACAAGGGGCCCAUCUUUGGAGGUAUCUAUGCUGCACGCGUUGCUAAACAUUUCGAGAUACCUAUUAGGCAUGAUGAGAAAGAGGAGACACUGCUGCCUCUUACCUUUUUAGAUUACAGGAGCAUGGUAGCGCAUGAGUUUAUUGUUGGCAAUGAUGAUAAGAUGCUUCUGUAUAACCUGAGAUUUAAUAAGAAACACAGUGAGAUUAUUACCCUGCCUGCACCUUCUUUGUUGAUUUAACUGCAGGCUAUUACCUUGUUUUGCCGGAGGCCGUUUACGCGCACCGAGGCCAGACAUCAGCCCCAAAGCCUGAGCCGGAACCACCACUGGACCCCUAUCGUCCAUCAUCUUAUCAGUGGGAUCCGGAGGAGAUCGCUAGCCAGUGGCAGUACAAUGACACUCCUCAGUACACCGGGGAGAGUAGCCGCGAUCCUUGGCCAUAGACCAACUUAGGCCAAAAGCCUAAGCUUUGGGGAGUACGUAUUCCUCACUGACUUUACAUUCAUGUUCACACACUCAUUCUAGUGUCGGUGCUCAUACUCUUUCAUUGUACUAUCCAUGCUAGUUUAUUUUAUUUUUCCUGCUUUCUUCUUGUGUGUUAGAUAAAACCUUAAGAAAACCCAAAAAAAAUUAGUUAGUUUAAUUUCCAUGCCUGUAGUAGUAAUAAUUAAAAGAAAAACUCAAAAAGAUUUCUCGUUCUUCCUUUUUGCUUGUUGGGAGCAUUCCCGUGUAAAUAGUUUUAUUUCUUUUCUUUUCCUUUGGGGAUCAAGAGUAGAAGGCUAUAAUGAAAAUGUCUAAGUGACUCUCAUAGGCAUAAUUGAUUUACUUUAACCAAGAGCCCAUAUUACCUUGUCUUCUCUCUUGAGUUGAAUGCUUGCAGAUUCCAGCUUAGUCCAAUGCACGUGCACUAUUAUUAUUAUACACAUCGUUCGGUCCUGCAAGUGAAAGGCAAUAAUGACGAUAUAUGAUGGACUGAUUGAGAUGAGAGAAGCUGGUAUGAACUCGACCUCUCUUGUUUUUGUUAAUAUGAUGAGUUCAUCGUUCCCGAUUCAGCUAUUAUGAAUAAACAUGUUUGCAAUGACAAUUAGAGAUUAUAGUUGCUUAUGCCAUUCUUAAUUAGUUAAGAGUUUAUAAUGGUUUACCUUGCGUGCCAACAUGCUAUUAAAAUAGUUGUGAUGUGGUAUGAUAGGGUGGUAUCCUCCUUUGAAUGAAUUGAGUGACUCGACUUGGCACAUGUUCACACAUGUAGUUGAAACAAAAAUCAACAUAGCCUUCACGAUAUUUAUGUUCAUGGUGGAUUAUAUCCUACUCAUGCUUGCACUCGGUGUUGAUUAAUUUUAAUGCAUGUUCAUGACUGUUGUCGCUCUCUUAGUUGGUCGCUUCCCAGUCUUUUGCUAGCCUUCACUUGUACUAAGUGGGAAUACUGCUUGUGCAUCCAAACUCCAUAAACCCAGAAGUUAUUCCAUAUGAGUCCACCAUACCUUCCAAUAUGCGGUAUCUACCUGCCGUUCCAAGUAAAUUUGUAUGUGCCAAACUCCAAACCUUCAAAUGAAAUUCUGUUUUGUAUGCUUGAGCAGCUCAUGUAUCAACUAGGGUUGUCUGUAUCUUCCAUGCUAGGUGGGUUAUUCUCAAGAGGAGUGGACUCUGCUCCUCAUUCACGAGAAAAUGGCUGGUAACCGGGAUGCCCAGUCCCAUGAUCAAAAAGAUCAAAGCAAAUCAAAAUAAUUAAACAAAACUCCCCCAGGAUUGUUGUUAGUUGGAGGCACCCGUUGUUUCGGGCAAGCGAUGGAUUGAUGAUUGUUGGUGGAGGGGGAGUAUAAAUUUUACCAUUUUGUUUGGGAACCGCGUAUAAUGUGUGUAGCAUGGAAGAUAUCGAGAUCUCAUAGUUGUUAUGUUGACAGUGAAAGUAUACCGCUCAAAAUGUUAUUUAUCUCUCUAUUUCAAAAUUGAGCUCCGGCACCUCAACAAAUCCCUGCUUCCCUCUGCAAAGGGCCUAUCUAUUUACUUUUAUGUUGAGUCAUCACCCUCUUAUUAAAAAGCACCCGCUAGAGAGCACACUAUCAUUUGCAUGCAUUACUAUUAGUUUAUAUCGGGUAUGACUUGACUGGAUCUCUUUUACCAUGAAUUACAAUGUAUAGUCAGUCCUUGAUCUUUAAAGGUGCUCUGCAUUUAUGUUUUGUGGUCUCAGAAAGGGCUAGCGAGAUACCAUCUUGUUAUAUCAUAUUAUGAUUGUUUUGAGAAAGUGUUGUCAUCUUAGAUUUAUUAUUAUUUGCUCGCUAGCUGAUUAUGCCAUUGAUAUCAGUAAAUAUGAGACCUAAGUGUUAUUGUGAAUAUGGUUAGUUCAUAAUCUUUGCUGAAAACUUGAAUGUUGGCUUUACAUAUUUACAACAACAAGAGCAAAUAGAGUUUGUAAAAGUUUUUCUUUAUCACUUUCAGUUUGUCAACUGAAUUGCUUGAGGACAAGCAAAGGUUUAAGCUUGGGGGAGUUGAUACGUCUCCAUCGUAUCUACUUUUCCAAAUACUUUUGCCCUUGUUUUGGACUCUAAUUUGCAUGAUUUGAAUGGAACUAACCCGGAUUGACGCUGCUUUCAGCAGAACUGCCAUGGUGUUAUUUUUGUGCAGAAAUAAAAGUUCUCGGAAUGACCUACAAAUUCACGGAGAUAACUUUUGGAAAAUAUAAAAAAUACUGGCGAAAGAAUCAAGGACAGGGGGCCCACACCCUGUCCACGAGGGUGGGGGGCGCGCCCCCUCCCCCUGGGUGCGCCCCCUUGAUGCUCCACCAACCUCGACUCCAAGUCCAUAUAUUCCGUUUCACGGAGAAAAAAAAUCAGAGUGAAAGUUUCAUUGCAUUUUAUGAUACGGAGCCGCCACCAAGCCCUAAUCUCUCUCGGGAGGGCUGAUCUAGAGUUCGUUCGGGGCUCGGAGAGGGGGAUUCGCCGCCGUCGUCAUCAUCAACCAUCCCCCAUCACCAAUUUCAUGAUGCUCACCGUCGUGCGUGAGUAAUUCCAUCGUAGGCUUGCUGGACGGUGAUGGGUUGGAUGAGAUUUACCAUGUAAUCAAGUUAGUUUUGUUAGGGUUUGAUCCCUAGUAUUCACUAUGUUCUGAGAUUGAUGUUGCUAUGAUUUUGCUCUGCUUAAUGCUUGUCACUAGGGCCCGAGUGUCAUGACAUCAGAUCUGAACCUAUUAUGUUUUCAUGAAUAUAUGUGAGUUCUUGAUCCUAUCUUGCAAGUCUAUAGUCACCUAUUAUGUGUUAUGAUCCGACAACCCCGAAGUGACAAUAAUCGGGAUACUUCUCGGUGAUGACCGUAGUUUGAGGAGUUCAUGUAUUCACUAUGUGUUAAUGCUUUGGUCCGGUACUCUAUUAAAAGGAGGCCUUAAUAUCCCUUAGUUUCCAUUAGGACCCCGCUGCCACGGGAGGGUAGGACAAAAGAUGUCAUGCAAGUUUUUUUCCAUAAGCACGUAUGACUAUAUUCGGAAUACAAGCCUAUAUUACAUUGAUGAACUGGAGCUAGUUCUGUGUCACCCUAUGUUAUAACUAUUACAUGAUGAAUUGCAUCCGACAUAAUUAUUCAUCACUAAUCCAAUGCCUACGAGCUUUUCACCUAUUGUGCUUUUCUUUUUUACAUUUCCGAUGCCACUGUUACAAUUACUACAAAACUCCUAUCGUUACUUUUGCCACUGUUACCAUCACUAUCAUACUACUUUGCUACUAAAUACUUUGUAGCAGAUACUAAGUCAUCUAGGUGUGGUUGAAUUGACAACUCAACUGCUAAUACUUGAGAAUAUUCUUUGGCUCCCCUUGUGUCAAAUCAAUAAGUUUGGGUUGAAUACUCUACCCUCGAAAACUGUUGCGAUCCCCUAUACUUGUGGGUUAUCAGCCCAUGAUGCGAAGCCGCCGAAUACGAAGAUCUGUCCGGGGAGGAAAACCUCACCCUGGAGUGCGUUGUUGUGGAUAAUUGAUGGAGCCAUCAAAACCUUCUGGUGACAACGCAGCGGAACUCUCAAUGAAAGCACCAAUGUCGGUGUCAAAACCGGCGGAUCUUGGGUAGGGGGUCCCGAACUGUGCGUCUAAGGUCGAUGGUAAUAGGAGGCGGGGGACACGAUGUUUACCCAAGUUCGGGCCCUCUCUAUCGAGGUAAUACCCUACUUCCUGCUAUAUUGAUCUUGAUGAUAUGAGUAUUACAAGAUUUGAUCUACCAUGAGAUUGUAAUGGCUAAACCCUAGAAGUCUAGCCUAUGAGGAUUGUCUAUCUAUCCCUACGGACUAAGCCCUCUGGUUUAUAUAGAUACUGGAGCGGACUAGGGUUAUACAGAGUCGGUUAUAGAGAAAGGAAUCUACAUAUCCGAUUGCCAAGAGGGAGCGCCCGAGGCGAAAACUAGGGUUAUACAGAGUCGGUUUAUAUAGAUUCCUUUCUCUAUGCUCACCGUCCCGAGGUGAAAACGGUAAACAUGAUCUACGUUACCCACAUCCCCAAGAGGGAGCGCAAACACGCAUUAAGGGAUGUCUACGCGGUAGAUCCUGUCGCCCCAAAAUUCAACCCGUGGUCGGCUUGUCCGAUCACCUUUGAUCACAGGGACCACCCAACCAGUAUCCGUCACAGAGGUUCGACAGACCUGGUACUCGAUCUUAUCAUCAAUGGAUACCAUCUCACUAGAGUCCUUAUGGACGAUGGCAGCAGUCUCAACUUGAUCUAUCAGGAUACUGUCCAUAAGUUGGGUAUCGACCCGUCAAGAAUCAAGCCCAGCAACACUACCUUCAAAGGAGUGAUACCCAGCGUGGAAUCCCGCUGUACGGGAUCAUUAACAUUGGAAGUAGUAUUUAGCUCUCCAGACAAUCUCCGAAGCGAAGAAUUGGUCUUCGACAUCGUCCCUUUUCGCAGAGGUUAUCAUGCACUGCUUGGAUGAACUAGUUUUGCUCGCUUUAAUGCAGUCCUGCACUAUGCUUAUCUAAAGCUCAAAAUGCCUGGACCUCGUGGCAUCAUCACAGCAAAUGGGAAUAUGGAGCGCUCCCUCUGUACUGAGGAACAUAUCACGGCCCUAGCAGCUGAAGUACAGGGCAGCCUCAUCAAACCGAACAACUCAUCGGCCAUCAAGACCCACGACACUACUAAAUGUGUUUGAGCCACGUUGCAAUGCGGUAGCUCGGUGGAACCUGAGCUCGAAUAGUAGUUUAGCCUCCGCCGAUUGCCCCAUAAGGUUGCGGUAUAUGUACCUCGCAUACACAAUUACACCCCUAAUAUACCUUGGGCAGCACCGGAGGCACACUGCAAAAAAGGUCUAUAGUACGGCUUGACCCUAUUCGGACCUCAAAUAUUCUUCCACUAUAGGUUCAUUAAAGAACCCAUCGGAUUUACGAUCGCACAGGGACCUUUUUUCUAGGUUCCUCUUUUUAACAGACGACCAUCGACUCCUCCCCUUCAAGGAUGUCUCACCAAGGAGAAACGGCGCAGAUGUGCAGCAAGGCAUCAUUGGGACUUUUAAACCAUUUAGUUUAGGCUCUGCGUAAACCUUUCCCUUGUAUAAGCUUCUGGCAUGUAAAAUGACCUCGACGUUUUUGGCAUUAUCUGUAACAACACGGCUCGACGUAUUAAUCAGGGUAUAAAGGAAACAGUUGAUCACCACUUUGUUGGGCAGUCAUUUUCAUUUCAUAUUACCAUCUGUGUUCCCUCCCUACCUCAGGCUGCCACACGUGCCUUAGUCCGGCCUUAACACCGGGGGUUGUAUUCGGCCCUGCCCAUUUCAAGUCCGAACACCUAUAGGGUACUCUUCGGCGUCCCGGAUAUUGCAUUAUAUGUAUCGGCCCUGAAUCAUGUCUUUGGUCUAUAGUUGGGUUGCCUGGCUCCUAUGCUUACUACCUUACGUUCCGCUUAUUCGGCUAAGGUAGUAAAGGGAGAACUACUACGAUUAUAUUUUUGGUUCGUCUGGUCAAGUACCUCAGUAGAGAAAGCCGAAAACUGACUAUCAUGAUAGGCAAGAGCUGGUCGGCGAUUCGGUGACUUAGUCUUAUACUAAAAAUAGUUAGUGAUUCACCCCGUGUUAUACGUGGGGCUGGUCUUCGUCCAGCCACGUGGGAAAGGCAUCGUAGUCCGGAUAGCCGCACACGCACCAGGGGCUAGUGCUUUGCUCCAUAGUCAAACUCCUAUGGCUAAGUGAAAGUAAUAAAGCCGCAUAGUCUGAUUGCCUAGUUCACCUCGUGGACACCUCCUUUACGGACCUAGACGUUGGAUAAAGUGUGGUCACACAUUAUGUCGAACACCCCUGUAGUACCUACAUGGGGGCUGAAGCCGACGACUAACAACAUUUAGAAAUAUAACAAAAAACAGCUGCACAGGAGGAAAAAUUGCUUGAGGCACAAACAUAAGAUAUAUAACAGCAUGGGUUCAUAACAUAGUUUGUACAACCCAAACACAUUCAAUCAAAUAUUACAUCCUUUGAACAUUGACCCUCUAUCACUCGGGCUCCUUCUAGGACGUCAUCGAGGUACCUCUCCCGCUUCCGAUGAUCUUUGCCCUCAGGCGGACCUACGGAUGCCACUUCUUGGCCUUCAUCUUCGCCCAUUGCAUCUUGACGCGGGCGAAGGCCAUCCUAGCACCCUCUAUGCAGGCCGAACGCUUUACAGCAUCAAUCCACGGCCGCGCAUUGACAAGCCACUUCACCAAACCAAAGUAGCUGCUGGGAAUAGGCUCGGUUGGGCAGAGUUGGAUUAUUAGAUCCUUCAUGGCCAAGUCAGCCACCCUAUGCAGCUCCGUCAGCUGCUUCAGCUGGUCGUUAAGAGGUGUCGGGUGCUCCGGCGCGAGAAAUUGCAACCAGAACAGCUUCUUGGUCGAGUUCCCCUCUUGGGCUCGGAAGAACUGUGCGGCAUCAGCAGCACUCCUCAGAAGAUCCACAAACGCAUCUAGAGAACUCCACACUCGGGUAAGCAAGGCAUACCUCUUACCUUCAAAGAUACUCUGCAAAUGAAAGGCCUUACCAGCCGCUAUCUGUUUCGCCUGAUGGAUCUCCUGGCGAGCACUUUGGGACUUGAUCCGCGCCUCUUUGAAAUCAUGGAGAGCCUUAGCAAGCUCGGACGACUGGUCCUAAGUAUUUUGCUCCAAGGUCUCGCAUUUGCUGAUGGCAUCCUUCAGCUCCUGCUCGACUUCGGCCACCCGAGCUGUUGGGAAACGUAGCAUGAAAUUUCAAAAAAAAAUCCCUACGCUCAUGCAAGAUCUAUCUAGGAGAUGCACAGCAACAAGAGGGGAAGAGUAUGUCCACGUACCCUCGUAGACCAAAAGCGGAAGCGUUUGACAACACGGUUGAUGUAGUCGAACUUCUUCUAGCUCCGACCGAUCAAGUACCAAACGUAUGGCACCUCCGAGUUCUGCACACAUUCAGCGCGAUGACGUCCCUCGCCCUCUUGAUCCAGCAAGGUGUCAAGGAAGUAGAUGAGUUCAGUCAUCAUGAGGGCAUGGUGAUGGUGAUGGUGAAUUGAUCCGCGCAGGGCUUCGCCUAAGAACUACAAAGAUAUGUCCGGAGGCGUAAACUUUGGAGGGGGGCACCGCACACGGCUAAGAUAAUGUCUAGGCUAUGUGUAGCGCCCUCCUGUAUAUAUAGGUGGGAGGGAGGGAAGCAGCCCUAGGGGCGCCCCAAGUAGGAGGGAUCCUACUUGGGCUCCUGCCCUAGGCCGGCGCCCCCUUUCCUUCUUUUGGCGAUGAGGGGAAGGAAGGAGGAGGUGGCACCCCCCUUUUCCUUUCUCCCACCAAGGGGGAAAGGCAAGAGGAGGUGGUGCCCCCUCCUUUCCUUCCUCUAGGGCCUGAGGCUAGGGAAAGGGGCGCACCAGCCCCUUGUGGGCUGGUCUGUCCCUCCCUCAUCCCAUUAAGCCCAUAUCUUUGCCGGGGUUGCCCGAAACUCCUUUCUAGUGACCCGAUAUGUACCUGGUACCCUCCGGAACACUUCCGGUGUCCGAAUACUAUCGUCCUAUAUAUCAAUCUUUACUUCUUGAUCAUUUCGAGACUCCUCGUCAUGUCCGUGAUCUCAUCUGGGACUCCGAACAACAUUUGGUCACAAAAUCACAUAACUCAUAUAUUACAAUAUUGUCAUUGAACGUUAAGCGUUCGGACCUUAUGGGUUUGAGAACUAUGUAGACAUGAACGACACAUCUCCGGUCAAUAACCAAUAGCGGAACCUGGAUGCUCAUAUUGGCUCCCAUAUAUAUUCUACGAAGAUCUUUAUCGGUCGAAUCGUUAUGACAACAUACAUUAUUCCCUUUGUCCAUCGGUAUGUUACUUGCUCGAGAUUCGAUCGUCAGUAUCUUCAUACCUAGUUCAAUCUCAUUACCGGCAAGUCUCUUUACUCAUUCCAUAAUACAUCAUCUUGAAACUAACUCAUUAGUCACUUUGCUUGCAAGGCUUCUUAUGAUGUGUAUUACCGAGAGGGCCCAAAGAUACCUCUCGGAUACUUAGAGUGACAAAGCCUAAUCUCGAUCUAUGCCAACCCAACAAACACCUUCGAAGAUACAUGUAGAGAAUCUCUAUAAUCACCCAGUUAUGUUGUGAUGUUUGAUAGCACAAAAGGCAUUCCUCCGGUAUCCGGGAGUUGCAUAAUCUAAUUAUUAAAGGAGUAUGUAUUUAACAUGAAGAAAUCAAUAGCAAUAAAACUGAACGAUCAUUAUGCUAAGCUAACGGAUGGGUAUUGUCCAUCACAUCAUUCUCCUAAUGAUGCAAUCCUGUUCAUCAAAUGACAACACAUGUCUAUGGUUAGGAAACUUAACCAUCUUUGAUUAAUGAGCUAGUCCGGUAGAGGCUUACUAGGGGCACGGUGUUUUGUCUAUGUAUCCACACAUGUAUCAAGUUUCCGGUUAAUACAAUUCUAGCAUGAAUAAUAAACAUUUAUCAUGAAAUAAGGAAAUAUGAAAUAACAACUUUAUUAUUGCCUCUAGGGCAUAUUUCCUUCACGAGCUUCAUGUUGGCGGCGGGCAGCUUGCUCGGUCUUCAGCUCUGCAGCCGCUUUGUUAGCGGCUGCCUUAUUCACCUCCGCCUCUUUCUUGGCCUGGGCGAGGGCACCUUUGAGGGUCUCGACCUCGGUUGUGCCAACUGUGCUCAUAAUCAAAGCAUUUUAUAACCUCUCAAUAUGCAUAUCACUUCUGAUAUAAAAGUACAUUCCUUCUUAAACAUUGCAUGCACACCUUGCGUCUCGUUGAACCGCUUAUUUAUGCGGUCAAGUUCCUCAUCUGCCGCAUGAAGCUUCCAACUGAGUUCGGAAACUUCCGCGGCAUGGGCGAUUGCCGCCAACAUGGAAGCCUGUUACAAUAACAACACAACAUGUUACUCUCCCGAAUACUAUGUGGACCCUCUGUCCGGUUUCUUUUAAACCGGACAGAGCCUAAGGGGCUAUUGUCUCUACACAGGUUUAUUCCUUUAUAUGGAAAGUUUUUAGGUACAUUACAUUGCAUACCUCAAAGCCUAUUAAUAGGCCGCAGAAGACUUCAUUCAGUCUGUUUUUAGCAGACUGAACCUUCUCCAUAAGCACACCCAUUAGGGUGCGGUGCUCCUCCAUGACGGAAACACUUUGCAGUACUUCCUCUAGAGCGUUGGGUGCCUCCGGAUUAAUGGAGGCUGCCGUGGGAGCUGGUGCUCCUUCCCCCUCUUUUGUAGGGGGUUGCUUAUCCGAUCCCGGAGCCUUGCUGGUCUCCGGAAUGGUGUUCGGCUAGGGCCCGGAUUGUUGUGGGUCCCCACCAUCGGUUAGGGUCGCCUCCCCUAGGUCUCUGGCAACAGAGGUAUCAACCGCGGGCGCUCUCUCGACAGCCUCGUUCGCCCCCCUCGGCUAGGAGAAGUCCUUCGGGAUGACACUUCGGUGUCCUCCAUGGCAAUAGGCAAGGAGGCUCGUGGCAGCGUGUUGCUCUCCACCAUUUCGGGCGGCAGAGAAUUCCCCUCCGAUAAUGAAGUUUGCGGGAGCACGUAGGGAGGGCUGAAAGACAAAUAACAAAAUAAAUUAUAUAAUGGAAGCAGGUAGACCAAAGAUAAAUAUUAAGUUUCUGAAUACUUAUGAUAUGGCCCGGGGCUUCACCCUGGGAGGUUUCUUGGGGACUAGUCCAGACUCUAAGUCUGGAUUGUCCGAGAGGGUAAGAUUCCCUCUUUUGGGCGCCUCCCCCUCCGGGUCUUUGGAGGCCGCCCUCUUCUUCUUCCUCCCCUUAUGGCGGGAGUCGCUUUCCACCUCAUCCUCCUCUUCUCCUCAUCUCCCUCAUGGGAAGAGAGGGCUUGGGUCCCUCCGGACACUGUUUUUGAAGGACCUUUGUCGCGAGGGUCGCUCUUGGCCUUCUUGCCUUUCUUCUUCUUGGUUUUCUUCUCCGGCGCCUGGUAGGGCGCCGGGACCAACAUCUCCGUCAGCUGGGGUGUGGUCGGGUUCUCAAGUAGCGGUGCCGAACAGUUGAUCCGCUCCGCCUUUGCCGUCCAACCCUGUAUAGAAAGUAGGCAACAUAACCUUUAUUACAUCCGAAAUAUUGACCGGAUAGGUAUUUGGAAAGAUUGUGCUUACAGCCGUGGCCGGGUUCUCGAUGUCGAGCCCGAUGUCUUCAGUCUUCUUUGAUCACUUUUUCUGAGCCUUGAAGAGUUGCUUCCAUAUAUCUUCAUGCGUAGUGCGGAACAAGCACUUUAGGGUCCGUGGCUCCUCCGGAUUGAACUCCCACAUGGGGGAGGACCGGAGUUGGUAGGGAAGGGUGCGGCGGAAGAGCAUCACUUGAAUCACGUUGGUGAGACCGGUGUUUGCACCCAACAUGUUGGAGAUGCGUUUCUGUAGCAUCUGCACAUCUGAUUUGGACCCUCAAUCAAGGCCCUUGGCGGUCCAUGAGGCGAGUCUCGUGGAGGGUACGGAUCUAAAAUCAGGCAUGGCUACCCAUUUGGCGUCGCGAGGUUCGGUGAUGUAGAACCACUCCUGCCGCCAUACCUUGACUGUCUCUAUAAAUGCCCUUUCGGGCCAGACGAAGUUGGGGAUCUUCCUUACCAUAGCCCCAGCGCAAUCCGCAUGUUGUCCGUCGACCACCUUCGGCUUCAGAUUGAAGACCUUGAGCCACAUGCCGAAGUGUGGGGGGAUGCAGAGAAGAGCCUCACACACGACUAUGAAAGCUGAUAUGUGGAGAAAGGAAUUUGGGGCUAGAUCAUGGAAAUCUAGCCCGUAGUAAAACACGAGACCCCAAACGAAGGGGUGGAGGGGAAAUCCUAGCCCCCGAAAGAAGUGGGGGAUGAACACAACCCUCUCACCCAACUCCGGAGUAGGAAUAACAUGAUCUUCGUCAGGGAUCCUAUGCACGAAAUCCGUGACAGAUAGCCCGCGCUCCGGAGAUCCUUGACGUCCUUUUCACUGAUGGAGGAGGCGGCGGCGGAAGAGGUCAGAGUUGUGGGCGCUAGAGUUUGGAGAUUGGGAUAAGGAAGCUAGAGGAAGGCGUGAAGAAAAUGGAGGGAUCUUUAUCCUCUUAUAGACGGUGAAAAUACCAAACGUCCCCCUCUCAAGCCAUAAACCUCGCAUGUUCCCAAUGAGAUCGUGCGUAAGGCAUGAUUGGAUUAACCAAACCAUAUUGAUGAGAAUCCCGUAAUGAGCGGGCAUGAUCUCUAUUUUGACGGGACGUGCCAAUGGAGGCUAGACCUCGAAACAAGAAAUGGGAGGCGUGAAAACGGUUCGAAAUGUUAAAGCAUUAAGUGUGACAUUUCACCAAAAAAGUUGUCAGUAAAGAGACAUUGUUCCUAUUCUGACGUCUUGCCUUCGUGGAUGAGGGUUGUAUUGAUUAUGUACAGUCGGACAUCUCUUUUAUGUAGGAACCUAGCUUAAAAUAUUCAGGAGAAGGAACCCGCCUUGCAAUGCUGAAGAUAAUCCGCGUGCCGAACACAUCGUCAUUGAAGACUGGUUCAGGGGCUAGUGAGGGGUCCUGGAUUAGGGGGUCCUCGGGUGUCCGGUCUAGUCGAUAUGGGCUGGCUGAUGGGUCGUGAAGAUAAAACAGAAGACUAUCCCCCGUGUCUAGGUAGGACUCCUAUAUGCGUGGACGGCAAGCUUGGUGUCCGGAUGUACUAUUUCCUUCCUCUGCAAACUGAUUCUGUACAACCCUAGGCCCCUCAGGUGUGUAUAUAAAGCGGAGGCUUUAGACCAUAGAGGCUAUCAAAAUAAUCAUAGGCUAGAUAGCUAGGGUUUAGCCAUUACGAUCUCGAGGUAGAUCAACUCUUGUAACCCCUAUACUCCUCGAAUACAAUCAAGCAGGACCUAGGGUUUUACUUCCUUUAAGAGGGCCCAAACCUGGGUAAACAUCAUGUCCCUAUUGUCUCCUUGUUACCAUCGAUCCUUAGACACGCAACUUGGGACCCCCUACCCGCGAUCUGCCUGUUAUAACACCGACAGUGGGGAAAGUGGGGACGUGAUGCCUCAAUCCUCGCCCUAGAAAUCUGCCACAUGCCGCGUUUUUCCUGCGCAUAGGACCGCUGCGGAUGCCGUUGAUCCAGCGAUUCACGACUGAGAAUCCACCAUGUGCUUCUUCCCCGUGGUAUAAAAGAUUUGUCUGCUAGGGUAAUUCCCAUAUCCCCUUUCUCUUUUGCCCACUCUGCACCUUGCCUUCUCUGCUCCAAUAAUCGGCGCUCAUGAGCACUCGAGAAGAUGGGAAAGGAUUCCAUCUCCAAGCUAGAGAAGGCGAAGAAGGUGGGGAGCCGCAUCGUCGAGCUCUGGUCCAUCUGUGGUACGCCCCUCGGGGGAUUGGAUCCCCUCGCGCGUCUCGACGAGGCGAUUGGAGGAUCUCUCCAAGGAGGCACUCAUUCCGGCAGAGAGACGGAGGUGGCCGGAGGCGGGUAAGGUCUAGUCGGUGCUGUAGGGGGGCGAACGCGUCCCCCUCGUCACCCACAUUGAGCGAGGUUUCUUGAUGCCACUCACCCUUUCUUUCAUGCAUUCUUGGAUUACUCUGGGGUGCAGCUCCACCAUCUUCCUCUGAAUGCCUUCGUUUUCUCUGUGUGCGAACUUCAUCGGCUGUCACCCGCACUGGGGAUUGCUUAAGCACAUCUUCACAUGUUAGUCAAUGACCAUGAAGAAGGACUCGCCGAAGGGCGAGGAGACCCAUGUGACCCAGUUGUGCGGAGGUUUGGGGAUCCAGCUUAGAGGUGGCAGCACCUUCCCAAAGUUGAGCUUUCCCGACUCCGUUAAGGGGCAGUAGGGCAUAGGGUUUUACUGCCAGGAUGUUCCGAGGGUAGGCAACCAGUCGGGCCUUCCACCAUACUCGGCGGAGAGGGUGGGGGCCCCGUUCCCUCACGGUAUCGAAGAAGGAGAAGGUGGAUGUAGGCAUCCUGACCAACGCUAUGGUCGGGGUCGUGAAUGUCGGGGUCUUCCUGAAGCCACGCCGAAUCAUCGGUGACAAAGUUGAGCGCUCUGAAAUGGAUCUCGAGGCCAAAAAUCAUGAUGAUGAUGAAGAAUUCCACCUGCAUCGGAUAAUCGCUAGAUGCGCGGCCCCAUGGUGGGUGCCAACUGUCGGGGUUACAAUCCUGAAAAUGAGUACUAUGGGUACGAACAAGGGGCGGAGCCUAGCUACGACGCAAGUGUAUCACUCAGUUUUUACAAGUUCAGGUCCCUCUCGGAGAAGAUAAAAACCCUACAUCUCGUGCCCGGAGGCUUGUUUUCUCUGGGGUGUAUGAUUACAAUGGAUGUUGAACCCUUGCCAUGGAGCUGGCAGGCGACUUAUAUAGAGUGUGCCUCGGCCUCAUUACUGCCAUGUGAUAACCCACAAGUAUAGGGGAUCGCAAUAGUUUUCGAGGGUAGAGUAUUCAACCCAAAUUUAUAGAUGCGACACAAGGGGAGCCAAAGAAUAUUUGCAAGUAUUAACAGCUGAGUUGUCAAUUCAACCACACCUGGAGAUUAGUUAUCUGGAGCAACAUGAUCAAUAGCAAAGUAGUAUGAUAGUUUUGAUAGUAGUAGCAACAGUAACGGUAAUAGUGAUAGCAAUGGUUUGGUAGCAAGUGCAAUAGUGACAAUAGCAAUAGUAACUUAGCAAGAACAAUAAGUAGGAAAAUCGUAGGCAUUGGAUCGGCGAUUUGUUGGAUGAUAUUCAUCAUGAGACAAUCGUAACCUAGGGCAAUACGACACUAGCUCUAGUUCAUAAAUAUAAUGUAGGCAUGUAUUCCGUAAAUAGUCAUACGUGCUUAUGGAAAGAACUUGCAUGACAUCUUUUGUCCUACCCUCCCGUGCCAGCGGGGUCCUAUUGGAAACUAAGGGAUAUUAAUGCCUCCUUUUAAUAGAGAACGGGAACAAAGCAUUAGCACAUGGUGAAUACAUGAACUCCUCACACUACGAUCAUGACUAGGAGUGGUCCCGACUAUUGUCACUCUCGGGUUGCCAGAUCAUAACACGUAGUAGGUGACUAUAACUUGCAAGAUCGGAUCUAGAACAUGGAUAUAAUGGUGAUAACAUAAACGGUUCAGAUCUGAAAUCAUGGCACCCAAGCCCAAAGUGACAAGCAUUAAGCAUGGCAAGGUCAUAGCAACAUCAAUCUCAAAACAUAAUGGAUACUAGGGAUCAGGCCCUAACGAAACUAACUCGAUUACAUGAUGUAUCUCAUCCAACUCCUCACCGACCAGCGAGCCUACGAAGGAAUUACUCACUCCCGGUGGGGAGCAUCAUGGAAUUGGUGAUGGAGAAGGGUUGGUGAUGACGAAGAUCGAAGAUCCCCCUCUCUAGAGUCCCAAACGGUCUCCGGAUCUGGCCUCCCGAUGAAGAACAGGAGAUGGCGGCGGCUCCGUCUCGUGAAAAGCGAUAAUUCUUUCUCCUUGAUUUUUUCUGGAAAAAUAGGAUUUUAUAGCAUCGGUUUUAGGGUCUGCGGGUCCACUAGGUGGGGACAACCCACUUGGGCGUGCCUGGAGGGGGUGGCACGCCCUGGUGGGUUGUGCCCACCUAGGUGCCCCCCUCGGGUGGUUCUUGGCUCCAGAAAUUUUCUUUUAUUGUAUAAAAAUUCUCGCAAAGUUUUGUUCCAUUUCGAGAACUUUUAUUUCUGCACAAAAACAACACCAUGGUAGUUCUGCUGAAAACAGCGUCAGUCCGGGUUAGUUUCAUUCAAAUCAUGAAAAUUAGAGUCCAAAACAAGAGGAAAAGCGUUAGGAAAAGUAGAUAUGACGGAGACGUAUCAACUCCCCCAAGCUUAAUCCUUUGCUUGUCCUCAAGCAAUUCAGUUGAUAAACUAAAAGUGAAAAAGAAAAACUUUUACGAACUCUUUUUCUCUUGUUUCCAUAAAUAAGCUGAAACAACACCCAGGUUUUCAGCAAAGAUUAUAACUAACCAUGUCGACAAUAACUCUUAAAAAUUAUAUUAACUCAUAUCAAUGACAUAAUCAACUAGCGAGCAAUAAUAAGGCAUCUCUAAUAGCAAAACAUUGUUAAAACAACCAUGAUACAAUAUGACAAUAGUGGUAUCUCGCUAGCCCUUUCUGAGACCGCAAAACAUAAAUGCAGAGCACCUCCAAAGUUCAAGCAGCGACUAAACAUUGUAAUUCUUGGUAGAAAAGAUCCAGUCAUGAUGCACCCAACAUUAGCUACACACAAUCCAUCAGCAUGACAGUAGUGCUCUCAGGUUCUGGCGCUUAUUUGGGAAGGUGAUGACACGACAUAAAAGUAAAUAGAUAGUCCCUUCGCAGAGGGAAGCAGUGAUUUGCAGAGGUGCCAGAGCUCAAGUUUGUAAAACAGAGGUAAAUGAAAUUUUGAGGCAUGCACCCUUCUUGUUUACUUCGCGACCAUUAGUUAUCAAUAUAUUCCAUGCUAAACACAUUAGUAGCGGUUUCCAAGCGAUAAAGUAAAGGUUAUUGCUCCAUAGAAGUUUUUGUUUGCUUACUUAUAAGUUUUUUUUUGCAAUUUGGCACUGGGCAUCCCUAUUAUCGCCCUUUUCUCGUGCGAUGGCGAGUGAAUAAACACUCGACCUAAGAAGAACCCGCUUAGCAUGGAAGAUACCGACUACCUCAUGUCAUUCCAUGAAUGAUCCAGACACACAAAAAGGAUAUUUAUUUGAAGCUUUUAGAGAUGGCAUAUGCAAAUUUACUUAGGACGGCAGGGUAAUACCACAUAUAGGUAGGUAUGGUGGACUCAUCUGGAAUAACUUGGGUUUCAGGUUUUCGAUGUACAAGCAGAGUUCCCACUUAGUACAGGGCUACAGGCAAAGGCUAGCAAAUAGGUUGAGAAGCGUCCAGCUAGAGAGCAACAACGGUCAUGAACAUGCGUUAUGCAUAAGUAACACUGGAUAGUAGCAUGAGUAGGAUAUGAACACCAUGAACAUAAAUAUCAUAGAGGCUAUGUUGGUUUUGAUUCAACUACAUGCAUGAACAUGUGCCAAGUCAAGCCACUCGAACAUUCAGAGGAGGAUACCAUAUCAUCAUACUACAUCACAAUCAUUUUAACGCAAUGUUGACAUCCAAGAUAAAUCAUUAUCCACUCCUGGCUACUUAUGCAAGCCAUGAGAAACUAUAAUCUCUAAAUGUCAUUGCAAACAUGUUUGAUCAUAAUAGGUUGAAUCAUGGAUACUAGGUUAAACAUAUUUACAAAAAUAGAACAAGUCGAGUUCAUACCCGUUUCUCUCUGCCACGACCAGUUCAUCGAAUAUCGUCAUUAUUGCCUUUCACUUGCAUGACCGAACGAUUUGAAAAUAAUAAUAGUGCAAGGUGUCAUGGACUAAGCUGGAAUCUGCAAACAUUUUAUUCAAAAGGGGAAGACAAGGUAAUAUGGGCUCUUCGUUAGAUCAACAAUAAUUCAAAUGAGAGCCACUCAACAUUUUCAUCGUGGUCUUCUCCUCGGUAUGACUCAAUAAAAAGAAAAGAAAUUCAGAGAAACACACUGUUUUUUUUGGAGUUUUUGGUUUUUCGCAAACAAGCAAAUAAAAAGGGAAAAGCAAAAAUGAGAAAAACUAUUUACAUGGGACAGCUCCCAACAAAUAAAAGAAGAACAAGGAAAUGUUUUCGGGUUUCUUUUUAGUGCUACAACAAUUUAAACUUGGAAGAAAAAUCAAAAAUAAGCAAGAAAUAUGUUUUUUGAUUUUCUCAAAGUUUUUCAAACACACAAGAAGAAAGCGAGAAAAUAAAUAUAAAAAUGGAUAAUACAAUGGAAAAGUGUGAACACCGACAACUGGAAUGAAAUGUGUGAACAUGAAUGUAAUGUCCAUGGGAAUAUGAUACGUCCAUUUUGCAUCAUGUUUACCUACUGUUAUUUAUGUUGUUUUAUUGCAUAAUAAUGCUUUUUGGAGUAAUUCUAAUGCCUUUUCUCUCAUAAUAUGCAAGGUACACACAAAAGGGGAGAAUUCUGGCACCUAGAAAUCUGGACCUAAAAAAGCUACGUCAGUCUACCUAUUCUGCACAAUUCCAAAUGAGCUGAAACUUCACAAGGAUUUAUGGAAUAAAUGAGAAUUUUUGGAGUCAAUAAGUACCAGAGGGGGGCCACCAGGUGGGCACAACCCACCUGGGCGCGCCCCGAUGGGUUGUGCUCAUCCAGGCCCACCUCCGGUGCUCCUCUUCUGGUACAUCAGUCAUUUUGACCUAUAAAAAAAUAAGGAGAGGACUUUCGGGACGAAGCGCUGCCGUCUCGAGGCGGAACCUGGGCAGGAGCACUUUUGCCCUCUGGCGGAGCAAUUCCGUCGGGGGAACUUCCCUCCCGAAGGGGCAAAUCAUCGUCAUCAUCAUCACCAACAACUCUCCCAUCUUGGGGAGGGCUAUCUCCAUCAACAUCUUCAACAACAUUAACUCCUCUCAAAUCCUAGUUCAUCUCUUGUGUUCAAUCUUUGUACCGAAACUAUAGAUUGGUGCUUGUGGGUGACUAGUAGUGUUGAUUACAUCUUGUAGUUGAUUACUAUAUGGUUUAUUUGGUGGAAGAUUAUAUGUUCAGAUCCAUUAUGCUAUUUAAUACCCAUCUGGUCUUGGGCAUGAUUAUCAUUUAUGAGUAGUUACUUUUGUUCUUGAGGUCACGGGAGAAAUCAUGUUGCAAGUAAUCAUGUGAACUUGAUAUGUGUUUGAUAUUUUGAUGAUAUGUAUGUUGUGAUUACCUUAGUGGUGUCAUGUGAACGUCGACUAUGUGACACUUCACCAUAUUUGGGCCUAAGGGAAUGCAUUAUGGAGUAGUUAUUAGAUGAUGGGUUGUGAGAGUGACAGAAGCUUAAACCCUAGUUUAUGCACUAUUCCAUAAGGGACCGAUUGGAUCCAAAAGUUUAAUGCUAUGGUUAGAAUUUAUUCUUAAUACUUUUAUCGUAGUUGCGGAUGCUUGCGAGGGGGUUAAUCAUAAGUAGGGGGUUUGUUCAAUUAAGAACAACACCUAAGCACCGGUUCACCCACAUACCAAGUUAUCAAAGUAGCAAACACGAAUUGAACCAACAUGAUGAAAGUGACUAGAUGAAAUUCUCGUGUACCCUCAAGACCACUUUGCUUAUCAUAAGAUACCAUUUUGUCCCAUCCUUUGCCUCAAAAGGAUUAGGCUACCUUGCUGCACUUUUGUUACCAUUACCGUUACUUGCUUGUUACAAAUUACCUUGCUAUCAAACUACUCUAUUACUUACAAUUUCAGCACUUGCAGACAUUACCUUGCUGAAAACCACUUGCCAUUUCCUUCUUCUCCUCGUUGGGUUCGACACUCUAACUUAUCUAAAAGGGCUACAAUUGAUCCCUUAUACUUGUGGGUCAUCAAGGCUAUUUUCUGGUGUCGUUGCCGGGGAGUGAAGCGCUCUUGGUAAGUGGAAAUAGGUAAGGAAACAUUAUUACUACGUGCUGAAAUUUAUUAUCACUUGAUACUAUGGAAAACAAUCCUUUGAGGGGUUUGUUCGGGGUAUCUUCACCUCAACCGAAACCGCAAUUUGAUUCCCCUCAACCUACUGCACCUGCUGAAAAUAUUAAAUAUGAAAUUCCUUCGGGUAUGGUAGAACAACUGCUAGCUAAUCCUUAUGCAGGAGAUGGAACUGAACAUCCUGAUAUGCACUUGAUAUAUGUGGAUGAAAUUUGUGGAUUGUUUAAGCUUGCAGGUUUGCCCAGAGAUGAAGCUAAGAAUAAGGUUUUCACUUUAUCUUUGAAGGGAAAUGCAUUGACAUGGUAUAGGCUCGAUGAUAUUGGAUCUUGGAACUAGAAUUGGUUGAAAUGGAAUUCCAUCAAAAAAUUAUCCUAUGCAUCUAGUUCAUCAUGAUCGGAAUUAUAUAUAUAAUUUUUGGACUCGUGAAGGAGAAAGUAUUGCUCUAACUUGGGGGAGGCUUAAGUCAAUGUUAUAUUCAUGCCCCAAUCAUGAGCUCUCAAGAGAAAUUAUUAUUCAGAACUUUUAUGCUCGGCUUUCUCAUAAUGAUCAAUCCAUGCUCGAUACUUCUUGUAUUGGUUCUUUUAUGAAGAAGACUAUUGAAUUCCGGUAGGAUCUUUUAGAAAGAAUUAAACAAAACUCUGAAGAUUGGGAAAUCGACGAAGGUAAAGAGUCAGGUAUUGAGCCUAAGUUUGAUUGUGUUAAAUCUUUUAUGAAUACUGAUGCUUUUCAAAAGUUUAGCACUAAAUAUGGACUUGACUCUGAGAUAGUAGCUUCCUUUUGUGAAUCUUUUGCUACUCAUGUUGAUCUCCCUAAGGAGAAGUUGUUUAAAUACCACCCACCUAUUAAAUAAGAAAUUAAAGAACCGGUAAAAGCUAAAGAAGAAACUAUCAUUUACAAUGUUGAUCCACUUGUUCCCAUUGCUUAUAUUGAAAAACCACCUUUCCCUAUUAGGAUGAAGGAACAUGCUAAAGUUUCAACUGUGGUCAACAAAAGUUAUAUUAGAACACCCAAACCAGCUAAACAAAUCAGAGUUGAACCUAGUGUUGCUAUGGUUAAAGAUCUCUUGGUCGAUAAUAUUGAUGGGCAUGUUAUUUACUUCUGUGCUGAAGCUGCUCGAAUUGCCAAACCCGAUGAAAAAGAUAAACAUAGACCAGUUGUUGGCAUGCAUGUUGUCUUAGUUAAGAUAGGAGAUCACUGUUAUCAUGGUUUAUGUGACUUAGGUGCUAGCGUGAGUGCUAUUCUUUUUUUCUUAUAUCAAGAAAUUAUGAAUGAUAUAGCACCCGCUGAAAUAGAAGACAUAGAUGUUACUAUUAAGCUCGCCAAUAGAGAUACUAUAUCACCAAUUAGGAUUGUUAGAGAUGUUGAAGUCUUGUGUGGGAAAAUAAAUGCCCUACCUAUUUUAUUGUUCUUGGUUCCCCACAAGAUGACUUUUGUCUCAUUAUCUUUGGUAGACCUCUUGAACACCGUUAAUGCUAAAAUAGAUUGUGAGAAACAAACUAUCGGUGUUAGCUUUAGUGAUGAAUCUCAUGAGUUUAAUUUUUCUAAGUUUAGUAGAAAACCGCAUAAGAAACAUUUCCCUAGUAAGGAUGAGAUUAUUGGUCUUGCUUCUAUUGUUGUACCUCCUACUGAUCCUUUAGAACAAUAUUUGCUAGACCAUGAAAAUGAUUUUCAUAUGCAUGAAAUAAAUGAAAUAGAUAGAAUCUUGUCCGAACAACAACUUCUGCUUAAACACAAUCUGCAUAUUGAAACUCUAGGAGGUCCUCCUCCACCUAAAGGUGAUCUUGUGUUUGAAUUAAAACAAUUGCCAGACACUUUGAAAUAUGCUUAUCUUGAUGAAAAAAAGAUAUAUCCUUUUAUUAUUAGUGCUAACCUUUCAGGACAUGAAGAAGAAAGAUUAUUGAAAGUUCUAAGGAAGCACCAAGCUGCUAUUGGAUAUACUCUUGAUGAUCUUAAGGGCAUUAGUCCCACUCUAUGUUAGCACAAGAUUAAUAUGGAACCUGAUGCUAAACCCAUUGUUGAUCACCAACAUCGGUUAAAUCCGAAGAUGAAAGAACUGGUAAGAACAGAAAUAUUGAAACUUCUAGAAGCAGGUAUAAUCUAUCCUAUAGCUGAUAGUAGAUGGGUAAGUCUUGUUCAUUAUGUCCCUAAUAAGGGAGGUAUAACUAUUGUUCCUAAUGAUAAAAAUAAACAUAUUCCACAAAGAAUUGUCACCGGCUAUAGAAUGGUAAUUGAUUAUAGAAAAUUAAACAAAGCAACAAGAAAAGAUCAUUACCCUCUGCCUUUUAUUGAUCAAAUGCUAGAAAGAUUAUCUAAGAACACACAUUUUUGCUUCCUUGAUGGAUAUUCUGUUUUUUCACAAAUACUUGUUUCUCAACCUGAUCAAGAAAAGACCACUUUCACUUGUCCUUUUGGAACUUAUGCUUAUAGACAUAUGUCUUGUGGUCUAUGUAAUGCACCUGCUACCUUUCAAAGAUGUAUGACUGCUAUAUUCUCUGACUUUUGUGAAAAGAUUGUUGAGGUUUUCAUGGAUGACUUUUCUGUUUAUGGGAAGCCUUUUGAUGAUUGUUUAAGCAUCUUGAUCGAGUUUUGCAGAGAUGUGAGCAAACAAAUCUUGUCUUAAAUUGGGAGAAGUUCCACUUCAUGGUUAAGGAAUGUAUUGUUUUGGGCCAUAAAAUUUCUAAGAGAGGUAUUGAGGUGGACAAAGCCAGGGUUGAUGCAAUUGAGAAAAUGCCAUGUCCUAAGGAUAUCAAAGGUAUUCGUAGUUUCCUUGGUCAUGUUGGUUUCUAUAGGAGAUUUAUCAAAGAGUUUUCUAAAAUUUCUAGGCCUCUUAAAAAUGUUAUGCAAAAGGAUAUUCCUUUUGUUUUUUAUGAUGAUUGUUUGGAAGCCUUCAAAACACUCAAGAAAGCCUUAAUUUCUGCACCUGCUGUUCAACCAGCUGAUUGGAACUUGCCUUUUGAGAUUAUGUGUGAUGCUAGCGAUUAUGUUUUUGGUGUUGUUCUAGGAUAAAGAGUUGAUAAGAAAUUAAAUGUUAUCCAAUAUGCUAGUAAAAAUCUAGACAGUGCUCAACGAAAUUAUGCUGCUACUGGAAAAGAAUUCUUAGUAGUGGUGUUUGCUUGCGAUAAAUUUAGAUCCUACAUUGUUGAUUCCAAAGUGAUUGUUCACACCGACCGUGCUGCUAUAAAAUAUCUUAUGGAAAAGAAAGAUGCUAAACCUAGAAUCAUUAGGUGGGUUCUUCUACUACAAGAAUUUGAUUUGCAUAUCACUGAUAGAAAAGGAUCAAAGAACCUCGUAGCUGAUAACCUGUCUAGGCUUGAAAAUAUUCUUGAUGACCCACAACCUAUUAAUGAUAGCUUUCCUGAUGAACAGUUAGCUGCAUUAAAUGUUUAUAAUAGUACACCUUGGUAUGCUGACUAUGCUAAUUAUAUUGUUGCUCAAUACAUACCACCUAGCUUUACAUACCAACAAAAGAAAAAAUUCUUCUAUGAUUUAAGACAUUAAUUUUGGGAUGACCCACAUAUUUAUAAAGAAGGAGUAGAUGGUAUUAUUAGAUGUUGUGUACCUGAGCAUGAACAAGAACAAAUCCUACGGAAAUGUCACUCUGAAGCUUAUGGAGGACAUCAUGUGAGAGAUAGAUCCGCUCAUAAGGUAUUGCAAUCUGGGUUUUAUUGGCCUACUCUCUUCAAGUAUGCCCGUAAGUUCGUCUUGUCUUGUGAUUAGUGUCAAAGAAUAGGUAAUAUCGGUAAGUGUAAAGAAAUGCCUAUGAAUUAUUCACUUGUUGUUGAACCAUUUGAUGUUUGGGGAUUUGAUUUCAUGGGACCUUUUCCUUCCUCUAAUGGGUAUACUCAUAUUUUGGUUGCUGUUGAUUAUGUUACUAAGUGGGUAGAAGCUAUUCCAACUAGUAGUGCCAAUCACAACACCUAUAUUAAAAUGCUCAAGGAAGUUAUUUUCCCAAGGUUUGGAGUCCCUAGAUAUUUAAUGACUGAUGGUGGUUCACACUUUAUUCAUGGCGCUUUCCGAAAAAUGCUUGCCAAGUAUGAUGUUAAGCAUAGAAUUGCAUCACCCUAUCAUCCUCAGUCUAGUGGUCAAGUUGAACUUAGCAAUAGACAAAUAAAAGUAAUCCUACAAAAGACUAUCAAUAGGUCCCGAAAGAAUUGGUCUAAGAAACUAGAUGAUGCACUUUGGGCUUAUAGAACAACGUAUAAAAAUCCUAUGGGUAUGUCUCCUUUUAAAAUGGUUUAUGGAAAAGCUUGUCAUUUGCCUCUUGAGUUAGAGCAUAAAGCAUAUGGGAAAUUAAAGAAAUCAACUAUGAUUUCAAACUCGCUAGUGAAAAGAGGUUAUUUGAUAUUAGCUCAUUAGAUGAAUGGAGAACCCAAGCUUAUGAAAAUGCAAAGUUAUUCAAAGAAAAAGUUGAAAGAUGGCAUGAUAAAAGAAUCCAAAAGCGUGAGUUUAAGGUUGGAGAAUAUGUUCUUUUAUACAACUCUCGUUUCAGAUUCUUUGCGGGAAAACUCCUCUCCAAAUGGGAAGGACCAUAUGUUAUCGAGGAGGUUUAUCGAUUUUGGAGCUAUCAAAAUAAAUAAUGCCGAAGGCACUAACCCAAAGGUUGUUAAUGGGCAACGAAUAAAACAUUAUAUCUCAGGUACGCCCAUUAAUGUUGAAAGCAAUAUUAUCCAAACUAUGACACCGGAAGAACACAUAAAUGAAACCUUCCAGAACACUCUAGAAUCGUUAAUAAGAGGAGGUACGUGAUACGGUAAGUAAAUGGACUCUAAAAAAUCUGCAAAAAUAUUUUUUUUCCAGUUUUGAAUAUUUAAAAAAUUAGUAAAAUAAGAAACUACCAGGAAGGUAACCCUGGUGGGCACAAGACAUCAGGGGGUGCCUGGCUUGCCAGGCAUACCCAGGUGGGUUAUGCCCCCCUCGGGUACCUUUCGGGCUCUAUUUUCUUCCAUUUGCUUGUUUCCAAGAUAAAAAAAUCUUUAUAUACUCCCCAAACCUGUUGACCUCCGUAUCGCGGAGAAAUCUCCUGUUUUCUUUUCUUGCUAUUUGUUGUCAGAUCUAAUCCACCAUGGCCACUUCAAGCUCCUCCUAGGACAAGUUCUUUGAGAACGUCGUCAACCCAUAUCUGUGGGAGGUGAUGCAAUACCCUCAAGCUAUCCAGAUGCGUGAUGGGGUGCUCCACAUCUGUGAUGUGCAAGGCCCCAAGGGGACUGUAUCCGUGGAGGCCAGGCUUGAAGCUAUGGUGCAGGAAGUCUUCCGGUGCAAGGGGAUGGUGGAACGUGGACUCAAUGCCAAUCACCUAAUGAUCACGGACUACACCUGUGAUCUCAAGGUGGAUGGAAAGUCCAUGAAGGACAUCGUCUUCUCCUUCAACAAGCAAAUCAACUUCCUCCAAAGCCAGAUCUACGACCUUCGAAACCAAAUCUUUGAAUAUGAAGCAAGGUUUAAAGGUAUGAGUUUGGCUGUCAGUUGCAGGACCUGAGAGACUCACUCUUCCUCUUAUGAUGGUGAGCCUCUACCGUGGAAACCCGAGGACAAGAUUGCUACCGCUGCAUCACCACCACAUCCUUCUUCAUCACCAAAAUAAAAUUGAGUAUCGGGUAUGGGCACUCCCCUUGGCUUUCGCCAAGCUUGGGGGAGGUGCCCCAGUAUUGUAUCACCUCCACUAUCUUUUUCCUUUAAUUUUCUUAGUUCGAUCCAUAGUUAUCUUUUGCUUUAGAUGAAUAAAAGUUUAGUUCGAUCCCUUCUUUUCGAGAGCUUUCUUAGUGAUCUAUCGUGGUAAUCGUAUGCGAGAUAUAUAAUAAAGUUUAGUUUGAGUUUUGUUUCUUCUACUUUCAUGUUCAAUAAAAAGAAAGGAAAUAAAUGAAAAAGAUCAUAUGCUAAUCUUAUGGUAAGUGAUGACAUUACACAAGGAAAAGUAUAAGUAGAAAAUUUUAUUAUAAAUUGACAAACAUAGCAAUGGUCAAUGAUGCAACUCAUGCAAGAAUUAAUAAGGGAAGAGAAGAUUCACAUGCAAAUACACUAUCCUGGAAAUCUUUUGUGAUUGUGAGCACCCAUCAAAAUAUUAUAUGCCAAAAAAUUUGACGUUGGACAAGGAAGACAACGUAAUGAUUUAUGUUUGUUUAUAUUCACAUAGAAGCUAUACUGUCAUAGAUCCUUCUACAUGUGGUGCUUGCCCCUAUCUUUGCUAGCCAAAAACUCCGCACUAAGUAGAGAUACUACUUGUGCAUCCAAAACCCUUAAACCCAAAUCUUGUUUUGAGAGUCCACCAUACCUACCUAUGGAUUGAGUAACAUCCUUCAAGUAAGUUAUCAUCGGUGCAAUAAGGCAAUAAAAGUUGCUUCUAGAAGUGUUAGAUCAUUUAGUGUAAGAGAAAGUUGAGCGUUGUACAAACUUGUGAUGGCGAAGAAUAAAAGCGACAGUUUGCAUAAUAAAGGUUUCCAUCAUAAGGGGCAAUAUAACAUGACACUCUCUUGCACGAAGGGGUUGAGCAUACAAACAAAAAGCACAUGGCAACCUCUGCUUCCUCUAUGAAGGGCCUAUCUUUUACUUUUAUGUAUUUACUUUCAUGCAAGAGUAAAAGUUCUUCUCUCUAUUCCUUUUUAUUUUCUCCUUUGGCAAGCAUCACGUGGUGAGGAAAGAUCUAGGCACAUAUAUCCACUUGAAUAUGGGUAGCAUGAGUUAUCAUUGUUGACAUCACCCUUGAGGUGAAUAUGUUGGGAGGCGAAACUAUAAGCCCCUAUCUUUCUAUGUGUUCAGUUGAAACGUUUUGCUCAUGUGUACGCGGUGAGUGUUAGCAAUCAUGGAAGACUAAAUGAUGGUUGAGUAUGUGGACUUGCCUAAAGGCUCCAAUACGUGACCCUUCCUGAAAAGAUGAUGAAUUGUAGUUGCAAAGUUGACUGAGAACAUAGUUUGUUGGUUUCCACUAGAGUUUAUACUUUACACUUCGAUGUUGUGAUGAAUCGUUACUUGUUUAUGAGAAGUCUAUGAUAAAAGUUCUAUAAUAAAAGUUUUAUGUUAAAGUUUGUUGCUGUUAUAAUAAAUUACAUGAUGCUUCUAUGCCUGUAUUUUGUUUUUUUAUCGAAACCUCUCUCUCUAAGCAUGUGGACAUGUUUUUCAAUUUCAAUUUUCGCUUGAGGGCAAGCGAGGUCUAAGCUUGGGGGAGUUGAUACGUCCAUUUUGCAUCAUGUUUACCUACUGUUAUUUAUGUUGUUUUAUUGCAUAAUAAUUCUUUUUGGAGUAAUUCUAAUGCCUUUUCUCUCAUAAUAUGCAAGGUACAUGCACAAGGGGAGAAUUCUGGUAGCUGGAAAUCUGGACCUGAGAAAGCUACGUCAGGCUACCUAUUCUGCACAAGUCCAAAUGAGCUGAAACUUAACGAGGAUUUUUUAUGGAAUAAAUGAGAAUUUUUGGAGUCAGUAAGUACCAAAGGGGGACCACCAGGUGGGAACAACCCACCUGGGCGCGCCAGGGAGCCCAGGCGCGCCCUGGUGGGUUGUGCUCAUCCAGGCCCACCUCCGGUGCCCCUCUUCUGGUACAUAAGUCAUUUUGACCUAGAAAAAAAUAAGGAGAGGACUUGCUGGAUGAAGCGCCGCCGUCUCGAGGCAAAACCUGGGCAGGAGCACUUUUGCCCUCCGGCAGAGCGAUUCAGCCGGGGGAACUUCUUGAGAGGAGUUGGUGUUGUUGAAGAUGUUGAUGGAGAUAGCCCUCCCCAAGAUGGGAGAGUUGUUGGUGAUAUGAAGAUGAUGAUUUCCCCCUCCAGGAGCCCAUCUUGGGGAGGGCUAUCUCCAUCAACAUCUUCCACAACACCAACUCCUCUCAAACCUUAGUUCAUCUCUUGUGUUCAAUCUUUGUAUCGGAACUAUAGAUUGGUGCUUGUGGGUGACUAGUAGUGUUAAUUACAUCUUGUAGUUGAUUACUAUAUGGUUUAUUUGGUGGAAGAUUAUAUGUGCAAAUCCAUUAUGCUAUUUAAUACCCCUAUGAUCUUGAGUAUGAUUAUCAUUUGUGAGUAGUUACUUUUGUUCUUGAGGUCACGGGAGAAAUCAUGUUGCAAGUAAUCAUGUGAACUUGAUAUGUGUGCGAUAUUUUGAUGAUAUGUAUGUUGUGAUUCCCUUAGUGGUGUCAUGUGAACGCCGACUACAUGACACUUCACCAUAUUUGAGCCUAAGGGAAUGCAUUGUGGAGUAGUUAUUACAUGAUGGGUUGCAAGAGUGACAGAAGCUUAAAUCUUAGUUUAUGCGCUAUUCCGUAAGGGACUGAUUGGAUCCAAAUGUUUAAUGCUAUGGUUAUAAUUUAUUCUUAAUACUUUUCUCGUAGUUGCAGAUGCUUGUGAGGGGGUUAAUCAUAAGUAGGAGGUUUGUUCAAGUAAGAACAACACCUAAGCACCGGUCCACCCACAUACCAAAUUAUCAAAGUAGCGAACACGAAUCAAACCAACAUGAUGAAAGUGACUACAUGAAAUUCCAGUGUACCCUCAAUAACACUUUGCUUAUCAUAAGAGACCGUUUUGGCAUGUCCUUUGCCUCAAAAGUAUUGGGCUAACUUGCUGCGCUUUUGUUACCAUUACCGUUACUUGCUUGUUACAAAUUACCUUGCUAUCAAACUACUCUGUUACUUACAAUUUCAGCACUUGCAGACAUUACCUUGCUGAAAACCACUUGUCAUUUCCUUCUGCUCCUCAUUGGGUUCAACACUCCUACUUAUCCAAAAGGGCUACAAUUGAUCCCAUAUACUUGUGGUUCAUCAGAAUAUGUACUCCUCCAAGCUUAGGCUUUUGGCCUAACUUGGUAAUCACCAAUCAUAGAAGCCAUGAGGUCCUAUGUUGAAGUGCUGGGGAGCGGGCACCUGAGGGUCCCACUGCUGAGGCUCCUCCUGUGCUGCAACCAGGUUGUUCCGGUAAGCAACAAUGUCCUCAGGCAUAAUCCUGUAUCCGGCCCGGCAAUAUGAUCAAACAAAGCAGGCGUAGGCAGUGGAAUAAUAUCAUGAGUUUUCUCACUGAAAACUAAGUUAUAAGGAAUAGGAAUACCAGGGUAACCAGCAGCAAUAAACUGGUGGUCUUCCAUAGCUGCUCGAUCUAGGCAAACCUUGGGCAAAGGAUGACCAUGCUGGCAUAUCUGAACGUUAAUGUGAGUUGCCAAGCGAGUAGCGUAAAUGCCCCCAUGUAUUUUACCCUUGGAUAUGUUAAUGUGAAGGCGACGUGCCACAAUAUCUCCCAAGCUAUAAGUGUUGUCAACAUAAAGUGCACGACGUAAAACAGCAAAGUCUGGAGCGCUAAGUGCACCUACCUUCUCUCUAGUAAGUAAGCACUUUGUAAUGAAUAGAGCAAAAUAAUGUACAUCGGGAAAAUGCAAGCUAGUAGCGGUGACACCUGAUACCCCUCUCUCAUCCCCCACUGUCAGAGUACAUACAAAUCCGUCAAACUCCGCGGGCCUAGGAUCUACCAAACCACCAUCAGAAGGGAGCACGCAUAUGUCACAAAAUUCAGUAAGUGAUAUUUGGUGGUUUUCAGCAUAUAAAUUAAACUGCACCUUAGGGGGAUUAUUCCAAGAAUGGAAACAAAAAAUUUGCACAAAAGAAUUUGUGAGGAGAUGAUACUGUUUGCAUUCAACUGCGAUGAAGUUGGUGAGGCCGGCAUUAGCAGCAUAUUGUGCAAACUCUUGAAGGAUUCCGGCCCCUUCCAUGAACGGGUUAUGCGGCCAUUCGCAUGACCGUAGCUCCACCAAUCUCCGGGUAUGGAGAUCACUGUCAGAUGACUCCCCAAUAAAUCCCUUGGAGCUCUUCUUGGAAGCAAACCUCCUAAAGAAACUCAUCCUUUUCCUAUGAACAAAAUUCUGAAAUUUUUAAUCCACAAAAAAUUUCUCAACAAAACUUCAUAAGAUUGUGAGCAACUACUCAUAGGGAUGUAUAGAGGCCAUAACAAGCAUACAAACUACUUAGACCUCUAAGAAUUCAACAUGCAAGCUCAUCUACAACAGCACCAAGAGUAGCUAAUUAUUCAAAAUAUAAACCACUAAAGCAAAAACUAAUUGGACACACGAAAGAGUCACAUACCAAGCAACAAUCCCCCGAAACAGUUUCAGAAACGGAGCUUCAAGCAAAGAGAUCAAAAUCCGCGGUUUCGGGAGCAAGAACACGAGAGAGAGAGCAAUGGUGAUUUUUUUCUGGAGGAAUGUGGUGACAUGGGAAGAAGAGAUAAGUGAGGGGGGCCACGUGGGGACCACAACCCACCAGGGCGCACCUAGGGGUCCUGGCGCGCCCAGGUGGGUGGUGCCCACCUAGUGCACCUCCCUCUGAUAUUAUUUUCACCAAAAAUUCUUAAAUAAUCAAAAAAAUCAUAUUAAAAUUUCAGAGCAUUCUGAGAACUUUUAUUUUUGGGUCAUUUUUUAUUGUACGAAAAACUGAGAAAACAGACAAAGCAUGGCAUUUUAUUUUAUUUAACUAAUAAAAACAGAAAACAAAAGGUAGGGACAAAAGGUAUUGCUCACUAAAUUCAUCAACUUCAUACCUCUCAAAAAUGAUCCAUUAAUAAGGUUGAUCAAGUCUUAUUAACAACCACUUUCGAUUAGCAUGAAACCGAAGAACUUUUAUGAACCACUAAGUUACCUCAACAGGGAUAUGGAUGUCCCCAACAAUAAGCAUUUAAUAUUUCUUUUUAAUGGUAGGUAUAGGUAGCUGGAAACUUCCAAUAGUGAUUGUCGGAGAUUUUUCAAUAACAUUAGUACCAUUCACUUGGAAUUGUUUCUUUGGAAAGUGCACCAUAUGCUCAUUACCAUUGAUAUGAAAAGUGAUCUUGCUUUUAUUGCAAUCAAUAACAGCUCCCGGAGUAUUCAAAAAGGGUCUAACAAGGAUAAUCGACAUGUUUUCGUCCUCGGGCAUCUCAAGUAUAACAAAGUCAGUCAGAAUAGUAACAUUAGCAACAACAACGGGCACAUCCUCACAAAUACCGAUAGGUAUGGCAAUUUAUUUGUGAGCCAUUUGCAAAGAUAUUUCAGUAGGUGUGAGUUUAUUCAAAUCAAGUCUUUUAUAUAAAGAGAAAGGCAUAACACUAACACCAGCUCCCAAAUCACAUAAAGCAGUUUUCACAUAGUUUCUUUUAAUGGAGCAAGGUAUAGUUGGUAUUCUCGGGUCUCCAAGUUUUUUAGGUACUCCAUCUUUAAAAGUAUAGUUAGCAAACAUAGUGGAUAUUUCACCUUCUGGUAUUUUUCUCUUAUUGGUGAUGAUGUCUUUCAUGUACUUUGCAUAAGGAGGCAUUUUUAGAUAUUAGUCAAGCGAGUACACAAAAAGACUGGCCUCAGCAUUUCAGCACAGCGAGCAAAUUCUUCAUCAUCUUUCUUUUUAGCUAACUUGGGUGGAAAAGGCAUGGGUUUUUGAACCCAUGGUUCUCUUUCCUUACCGUGUUUUCUAGCAACAAAGUCUCUUUUAUCAUAUCUUCUAUUCUUGGGUUGUGGGUUGUCAAAAUCAACAACUGGUUCUAUCUCAACACCAUUGUCUGGUUCUUUAUUAUUUGUUUGAGUUUCUUCAUGAACCUCAUCAUUAUCUUUUUCAUUAUCACAAGGUGAGUGUUCACUACCAGAUUGAGUUUCAACAUUAGAGAUAGAAACUUCAUUAUCAUUAUCAGGUGGUUUUUCUACUUCAGGUUCACUAGAGGCAUGCAAAGUCCUAUUAUUUUUCUUCUUAUUUUUCUUUUUAGAAGGAUUAGGUGCAUCCGUGUUAAUCCUUAGAGAGUCUUGUUCAAUUCUUUUUGGGUGUCCCUCAGGAUAAAGUGGUUCAUGAGUCAUUUUACCUCCUCUAGUUGCUACUAUAACAACAAAAGUCACUUAUAUUGUUGUUCAUUUCAUCAAGCAACUCUCUUUGAGAUUUAGCAACUUGUUCUAAUUGAGUUUGAACCAUAGAAGCAUGCUUUCCUACACCUCUAACAUCAUUUGAGAUUCUAAAUAACAAGUCACUUAAGCGAGCAAUCAUAUCAGAGUUGUAUUUCAAUUGUUUUAUAACAUUUGCAUUGAAGUGAUCUUCCUUUCUAAUGUAAUUAUCAAACUCAUAAAGGCAUUGACUAGGAUGUUUAUUAUGAGGAUUAUCACUAUCAUUGAACUUCAUUAAAUAAUUUACCUCUACCACCUUAGGUGGUGGUGGUCUAUCAACCCCAUGUAUUUCUUCAAUAGGUGGUAAAUUUUUAACAUCCUCUGCUUUAAUACCUUUUUCCUUCAUAGAUUUCUUUGCCUCUUGCAUAUCUUCAGGACUGAAAUAUAAAAUACCCCUCUUCUUUGGAGUAGGUCUAAGCGGUGUUUCAGGAGGAGUCCAAUCAUCAUAAUUUUUCCAUAUGUUAUUCAAUAAUUCUUCAUCUUGCUCAAUAGUUCGUUCCCAGAAAACAGAACCAGCACAACUAUCUAGGAAAUCCCUAGAAGCAUCGGUUAGUCCAUUAUAGAAGAUAUCAAGUAUUUAAUUUUUCUUAAGAGGAUGAUCAGGCAAAGCAUUAAGCAAUUGGAGAAGCCUCCCCCAAGCUUGUGGGAUACUCUCUUCUUCAAUUUACACAAAGUUAAAUAUUUCCUGCAAGAUAGCUUGUUUCUUAUG
rnacentral:lncRNA from 1 species